rnacentral:lncRNA from 1 species
CUUUCAACAUUUAAGUACCUCAGUUGAAACAGUUUCCCAAUUGGAGUGAGGUCCAAAUCAUCAGCCUUACAAACAAACAGAACUCGGAUAAACUUCAGCUCCAACAGUUCAAUGCUAUGAUGACGCCACCCAAAAAUACACAGUGAUCGAACAUGUGUCAGACUCAUGCGAGGUGCGAUUUUAUCAAGUUCUGCCUCACCAAGCUGCAGAGAGAGCCGGCGAGUCUUGCAAUGCUGUCUUCUGGUGACUGUCUCUAUGUUUUCUACCACGCACAGAAAAUUCUCUUCUGCAGACUUGGACACAAUUAGAUCCAGAACCAUAUCAUGAACUUUAUGAUAGAUACGCUCACUGUAAUAAGCAUGAUGUUCCACAAGCUGGAUGAUCAUACUCCUAUUCACCAAUUCAUUGAAAUGGCUCCCCGCAAUUUCCAAUGCAUCUCUCCCAUCUAUUCCACAGACAAAUCCUUCAGCUACCCAUUGCAUAACUAAGUGAUCCUUUUUGAUAUGAUGAUCCUCCGGAUACAUACCAAUAUAUAAUAAGCAUGUCUUGAGAUGAUGAGGAAGAUGAGUGUAACUAAGGUUUAGUAUCUCUCUCAUCCCUUCUAAAGUUGGAUUUGACCUCAGAUCGGAACGUAAAGAAUUAAGGACACAGUUCCAUUGGCUCACUGAUCUGUUCGAUUGACUAGCUAAAAGGCUAGCUAUACUGAUGAUUGCUAGUGGCAGUCCACCACAUUUUUGUAGAAUUUUUUCAGAUGGUUCUUCAAAUGGAUGAGGACAUGUGUUUUCCAACCCAAAAACUCUACCAUAAAACAACUGCCUGGAACUAUGAUCGUCAAGAGGUUUCAUCCUGUAAACAAAUUCCCACUGAAAAUUGCAACAUGUCACUGCCACCCUUUCGAUUCGUGUAGUUGUCAACACUUUGCUACCAUAGUGGCCCUCGGGGAAAGCACAUUUUAUAAUUUCCCAUGCUGAUGCAUCCCAUAAAUCAUCAACUACAACCAAAUACCUGCCAAUAUGCAUGUCCAAAUACACAUAUUAAUAUGAUACCGCAAGUAAAAGGUUUCUUUUUAUAAACAACUUGCACUGCUUUCAACUAAAAUAAAUCCGUUGAACUUUAACAUCCAAAAUAGAGUGUCUAUGUAACUUGUUAGCUAAACCAGCUGAAUUAGCUUGCCAAAAUUCCGAUUCAUAGUAAAGAUUGUAACAUCACCCAUAUGAGCCCUAGAAAUGUACUGGAGAUUGUCUCAAUAAAUAGAUGAACCUUAAGGAAAUGUAUUGUAUUGGAUCAGCAAAGCAAAGUAAGUAAAAUAAAUUUGACCCUACACUAUUUUAAUUUUGAAAUUCUGAUUUUAUUGUGCAUAUUUAAAUUUCAAAGAAAUUGAAAUUCAAUCUAGUUAAAAACGCGGAAGUUACAAAUCCUGCAGCUUAAAAUGGUGCGUAGAAAAGAGUGGAGUGUUGGUGAGAGGUACAAUUGAACUUCGAUUCAUAGUGCCAUGUAUGUAAAGGCCACAAAAAAGGAACAGGAAACACAAAUCAAUGCCAGAUAAUCUUGUGAAAUAAGACCAGAAAUGAGCCACCUGCCACUAUAGACAGGGAAGCAAGCUAAGUGUCAUUAGGAUUGUGCUCUGUUGUCAUCACGCUUUGUUCAUUCUUUUAGUACUUUUAUACUUUCUAAUAAUAUGUUAAGAUAGGUUAGAAAUGUGAGCGUUGAUGUGUUGAAAAGAAUCUAGGAGUGUAGGACAAGAAUAAAUACCUUUUGUCCUGUAGAUACUUUCUAAGGUUAUCUAUGAGCCCAUUAACCUCGCAAAUAUCAGUCCCUCGCCCCAAAAUCUGUGUGACCAAACUCUUGAGAAGCACCACCAUGUCAGGUCUUUGAGACACUGAUACAAAAGCCUUGCAAGCAAAACUUUCACCAAAGUUUUUGUAUACUUCAUUUGCAAGUGUGGUCUUUCCUAGACCUCCAAACCCAACAAUAGACACGACUCUUAGUUCUUGCACUGACGCAUCAUCCACCUAUUUCAAUCAAUUCGAAGACAAGCUGGGGUCACAAUAACGCAGCACAGAAACAAACCAAAAUAAUGGUACUAUAGGAUGCCAACCUGCUUUUCCAACAAAUUGAUAACCUCUUCCUUCGGGCCAUCAAUACCAACAAGUCUUGACGAUUCCACAUAAAGAGCAGAUAUCCGAGGGUCGACAGCAACACCACCGGAUCUAGUCUUGCAGUAAUCUAGCUUGUACCUCAUGCGCCGCAUACUAGCCUCUUGCACACGGAUCUUGAGCUCUUGAAUUUGGUUGGCGAGCUGAUGCCGCGCCCUUAGCGUCUUAAGACGGCGCAACAAUCCUUUACCGUCGCAGGAACCUCCAACACGGUGCAUGAACUCAUCGAUGCAGUCCUCGAUGUCGUACGACAUUUCCCUCACGUUGUUCCUCCACUGCUUGGUUUGGUUAUCCAGGUCCUCCAUGUCAGCGAGAUCUUCCAGGAGAGCGGCCAUGCUGCUGAGCUCCUCAUGGAGGAACGCCACCUGCAGGAUUGGGUUCAGGAAUUAAGAUUAAAAAAAAAAAGGCAAACUCCAUGAGACCAUGAGAAAAAAAAUUGGAUCAAAAGGCACCUGUUUCCGCACAUCCUUGAGCUUGGCAUACUUUUCCCCCAUAAGAGUGGCUAGCUUUCCUAGGAGCGAGUUCAUCACUCCCACUGAGGCACUCACCAGUAUCUUCUCUGCCAUUCUGACUGCACUUCUGGGAUGCCGCCGCCGCGGAGGAUGGUGACCACGGGCGAGCCAAAAACCAGCGGAUCCGCCCGGAUCUACAUGGGGAGACGCCGGCCGCGUUGUUUCCGGGGGAGCGGGAGGAGCCGUGCGGCCUCUGCGAGAGCGAGCGGCAGGCGGCGCUAUGCCAUGGAGCGAUGGAGCAGCGAAGGUAUAGGGAAAGGUGUGGCAAAUGCGACGACUUCGGGUCAGCGCAAGGACUUCAAGUCUCCGCCCACGUCCGUGUUCACGCCCCCCGCAGAUGGUGGGCCGGCGCUCCGCGUUGAAACCCGAAUAGUAGAGUCGCCAUCAUGGCCCCUCUCGGGGGGGGGGGGGGGGGGGGGGGGGGGGGGGGGGGAAAGCCAGCCUGAAAUGACCCACCAGGCCCAACUCUGGCCUGAAACUCAGCGGCUGUACCCGUACUAUACCCAGCCACGGCGGGGCGACGCACCGACGCAGACGGACGCCGCCCGCACACGCGACGGCAUCUCAAUCCCGACCCCCACGAGCCGCCGGGGAACAUGGGGUUCGACCUCAGCCUGCCGCCGCCGGCGGCCGAGAUCCUGGUGUAGGAAUGGGCGUGGCAAAAUAGAUUGAUCCAUCAUCCGUCGGCUUGUUAAUCACAAAUGAAAAUGAUUAUUAGCACUUCCCGGUGUGUAGAUAGUCAACUGUUUUGUGUAUAUGAAAGGUGCGAUGCAGGAGUUAACAAAGAGAAUUGGUUUCCGUGAAUUUCUUGUUUGUUUGGGACGGCUGGAGAUAUAAAAAAUUUCAACCUGCAACACCACGUGUGUCUCUAAUUUUUUUUGAAUUCCCUCGUAUAUUUUUUUUGGAAAACCUGCUCUGCUUGAGUCCUACUUCCUCUGUCCUUUAAUAUAUGUCGUCGUGGGAAUGGUCAAACUUUUUUAAAUUUAAAAUAUUAGCAAUAUUUAUAUUUUUAAAUAAAUUUAUUAUGAAAAUAGAUUUAACGAUCUAUCUAAUGAUACUGAUUAUGUAUUAUAAAUAUGAAUAUUUUAUAUAUAUAUAUAUAUAUAUUUGGUCAAAGUUGAUUGCGUCUAAAUUCUCGGGAAGUGAGAACGAUAGACAAAGAUGGACGGAGGGAGCAAAGAGGAUAUACGCACAAAUUUUAAGAUCCCGUUUGAUAGGGAUCCAGAUUCUCACCGGUAACGUUUCGGAUGAGUUUGGGAUGAUGAAUCAGAAUCACUGGACUGUUUGGCUGCAUAAUCAGAAUCACUGCGAAACCACGUUUACACCGAUUCACAUUCAUAAGCAGAAAAACUUGAAUCACUUGGAACCGUUUCUACAAGAAACGUUUCACCCUUUGCCCAUUUAGCAGUGAUUAGUGUGUCUCGCUAGAAUCUGAACUGCCAAACGGGCCUAAAAUUUGGAGGGCGCAAAACUGCGGACUAGCCAAAGCUUCCGAGUUCCAAAUUGAAAUGGAGUCAGACAACAAAACUGGCAGCCGCGUGCGCGCGCGGCCGCGGCGGCGACACGCCACGCCAGGCCUGCACUGCACGCACCUUCGCGGAAACGCACACCCAUGUCGGCAGGCAGCCACGAGCAGCAGCCGGCGGGCCGAAGAAUAGAAAAAACCGGGCGGCGCUCCCCUCCUCGGCUGGCGCCUGCGUGCGUGCGUACGGCGCCGUCCGGGACCUGACAGCGCGCGGCGUGACGGUUGCUGCCCGCCCGUCCCAGCUGCACGCCAAGCCAGCGGUGCGCCGCCGACGCCCGAGUGUUAAAAUCCGCCGGUGAUCCAUAACAGUAAAAAUAACGCAUCUCUGUCAUCUCAUUUACAACUGUCAGCGUGCCACCAUCAGUUAUGCGAGCUCCAAGCCUCCAAGUAGGAAAUAUGAGGAGCAUAUACGUGUAAGAGCUGCUAAACCAGUAUCUGUUGUUUGGCGAUUGUCAAGAUUAAGAAACUUCCAGUGAACUCAAAGGCAGAAAUCUUUUUCAAAACAAUGCCAGUAACCAAUGUAAAAGAGAUUGAUGAUCAUAUCCUGCAUAUAUAUUGCAUGGACCUGUAGAAACAGAACGACUUAGUUUAUCUAUAACAACUUUAAAUCGAAAAUCAUGAAGUGCUCCAGGGGACUGCAGGAACCAGGGCGUGGGAGGCCUCCACGGAGGCACGGGCAGCAGGAACCGGAGCGUGCGGGAGAGGUCCUUCCUCCUGGAGCUUGCACAAGACCCACAGGAACCGAGGAAGGCGGUGACGGCGAGCGGCGUCCGUUCGAGCCUGAGCUGAGCAUCAAUUCCCCAGCGGAAGGCCGUUGAGCGUCGGGUAGAAAAGGACGCCACGCGUCCGUUCCUGCACCCAAUUUUUUUUUCCCCUUUACUCACCUUUGAAAUACAAGACGCUUCUACAGGUCGUAAAUACUCCCCUCUAUGCCUUUAUGAUUUCGGAUGUGUUAUGGUCCUAACUACGCUGGCGGCGCGCCGCCGCGCCGGCGAGCUUUGGACAGAGUUGCGCAGCCGGCAGCGAGAAGAAGAACAGUAGGAUAGGUUUGAUGUUUUCUCCAUUCCAUGCCCCCCCUUCAGCGUUCUCUAGCGCUUGCAUAUCCAGUCCGGCUCUCAGCCCACAGAGACGAUACAUGGGCUCAUAGGCUGCUACUUACACGGCCUUUGGCCCAACUACUACUCUCCUUUCUUCUUCUUUGCCGUCGGUGCCUCCUCUGUCACUUGGGCUGUGACACUCCCCCUCCAUUGGAAAUCAGCUCGCCCCAAAGCUGCUGUAAUGGAAACCUCUGAUGCAGAUAGUUUAAAUUCGACCAAGUAGUCCAAUCCGCCGGCGAGGAAGACCAACGAAUGAGGCCAUAUGGAGUUACUGAAUUACCCACUUUAUGCAGACUAGUAUGCCACUGUUCCCACCUUCUGAACGAUUUAGGGGCCAAAAUAUUUGAAGCUCAACUUAUGAUUGGAUCUCCUUACAACUGAGACUUGCACAUAUGGCUGUAACCUCAAACAUACCUAAUCUCCAACUUCGAAUGACCUUUCUGUUCUAUUCUUAUCUGCUUGUGCCUUCAUUCUGCUUUGAGCUCUGAGUUAAAUAUUGUUGAACCAAUUUGUUCAUUAAAGAUCUUUCCUAAAGCCACCGCACCAAAUCUGGUACUUUCACAUUAGACUCAGAUGGAACACAGAAAUGUCUGGGUUUCCUAAAGCAACCUCGAAUGGAGUUUUGCCCAACGCUGAGUGAUACGUGGUGUUGUAACAAUGUUCCGCUAAUGACAACCACUUAGCCCACUUGGAUGGACAAUCUUGAACCAUGCAUCGCAAGUAAGUUUCAUUGAUUAAGUCUCUCUGUUUGCCCAUCCAUGUGAGGGUGAUAGGAUGAACUCAUAUUUAUCAUAUUUAAGGUGGUUUCAGUGAGCCUGAAUAACUCUCGCCAAAAAUUGCUAGUGAAUACCUUAUCUCUAUCACUAAUAAUAACAUUUAGCAACCAAAAAUUGCGUUGCCAUGUAUGUGGAAAACAAGCUGUAAAAUUAUAUAAAAUAAUUAAAAAAAGUGAUUUAGUUUGAUUUGUGGACGAUUGUCGACGAAGCCUUGGCGUUCGUUGUGAAGCCGUGACAGUUGUUGAUGAAGUCGGCUAGUCGGAGUCGAUCCCGACUACUUGUUGAUCACGUGGAACCCACACUCGACUAGUUUGUAGUCAAGACGAGAACUUUUAGAUAGUCAUUAUUGUGUCGCCGAGAGCCAGCGCAGUCAUGCAUGCUGAAGUCUCAUGUACAUUUCUUCAAUACGUGUUGUGAAGAGGAAUAGAUCUCUCGGUGGCCUACCUGGUACGUGCACUGAAACUCCAAAAAGUAGCUUUACACGGAGAGUGCUUGAGCUGAUAGUGUUGACAUGAAAAUCGAGAUGCGAUCCUCACGCGCUAACACACGAACCUGGGAGAAUCUGCUUAGCUCCUGUUCGGGUUGAAGCCCUGUUGAUCCGCGGCGUGCCAAUGAAUCUGACCUGCUGAUUGACAAGGAUAAUCCGGAUGUCAAAUAUGAAAGCGAAUCGGCUGGUUUGCCGAUUGGCCCUAUGAAGAUCGUAACAGCUGAUUAGCUGAAAUAGAGAUAUACGAUCGGCUAGGUCAGCCAAUGUAAGUGCUGCAGAGGAAACGAUAAUGCGCAACCUAAACAGUGCUACGAGGAAAACACUUGAAAUAGAUUUAAUCGGCUAUACGAUGUAUCCUUGAUAGCAAAACAGAGUAAGAAGCCGAUCUGAAACUAUUACGAGCUGGAUAAUUGUGAUAAAAGCUAGAACAACGAGGUGAACUUGAAGAUCUAGCAAGUAUCGAUAACUUGAAUAAAUCCAGAUGAAACGACAGCGAUGUGCCCGAAGUUAAAGCCUGGAGAUUAUUCGGUAGACACGGAACUCAUAGGCCAGUCGGAGAUCAAGUUGAUGCAGCCCCACUAGCUUGAAAGAACUCGUGAAAAGAGAAAAAACUUUGGCGAAGUCGCCGACUUGAAAGUAAAUUGCGACAAUAAUAGAUUUGUUUUUAUUGAUGUGUAUGUGUUUUUCUAGACCUCGUAGGGUCUCUAUUUGUAGCCUAACCUCAAAAACCCUAAUCCUAGUCGAUUACGACGCGAUACAAUAUCUGUAACUUAAAAAAACAAACUUUCUAAAUAAAAACGAUUCAUACAAGAGUACGGACACUAAAUAAAAAAAACUUGUAUAAAAGUCAGGAUAUCUUCACCGAUCCAGCUUCUCUUCUGCCUUCUAUCAUCCGAACCUCCAAUAUCCCCGAUCGGCUGGAGUCCUGCUCGCCUCACGCGGAAUCAGCUGAGCCCCCCUGUCCUCAUCAGCUGGAUCGGCUGGAACCCUUCCAUCCGCAUCGGCUGUCUUCAUCAGCUGAGUCUCCAUUAUCUUCCAUCGGCUGAAAAUUGGUGACUCCUUCUGCUGAUUUCCCUGGCCGUUGCUCUUCCACCACGUAUCAGCACCUCGGCCUCCUUUUGACAUUAGUUUUUCGACAUGUGUUAAAAAAUGGUGUCAAUAGAUAGUUUCCUCAAUCCAUGCACGCGCAGUAGAUGGAAUAUUGAUUGGCCUUCAUUGCUUCAGUAUAGGAUUCGGCAACCGAAGGCAAUUAGCUUAAGAUGCCUUCGUUCGUGACUUCAACUCGAAGACGGAAAAAUAAUUCCGCCGAUAUUUUUCCUUCUCACGGGUGUGGAGCAGUAGCGGAUCAUCAACCUUGAGCGACGCACGGAGCCAUGGAGGAUGAUCAGCUAUAGCAGUGCGACUAGUGCUGUAGCUUUUUGCAUGUAGACAAGCCGAUAACCGAUUGAUCUCUCGCAAGCUUCUUGUAUCCGCUUUGAAUUGGAACUCGGCGACUUGCUUUUCCUCGAGUAGAUUGAUUUUUAACAUGAGUUCCUUCAAGCUCGCUCGAUGAUCUCGACAAUCACCCCUACCUGACGCGCCAGAUGUCGGUGUUUUAUACCUGGUAACCUACCGAGGGGUCCUCGGUAGUAGAUUCGUUGGUUUGGGAUCGUCGGACCUGGAACUCGAAGGUAAAAGCGAGGAUACAAGACACAGAUUUAUAUAGGUUCGAGCUGCUAGAGUAACGUAAUACCCUACAUCUUGUUUGGGGUGUUGUAUAUUGCGCCUUGCGAUUGGUUGUUAUUUGAUGUUGAGAAUUUGAUCAUUUGAUGUGGUUCUAUGAGAUCUUCGCCUAUCGAUUUAGGGACCCUUGCCCUCAUUUAUAUACUAUAGGGGGAAUUACUAGUCGGUUACAAGAAGGAGUCAUAGUAGGAUUACAUGGUAUGAGUUCUAAUAGGAUUACAGAAGGAUCAUAGUAGGAGUCCAUCUUCUUUAUUCCUUGUGUGUAAUUGGGAUCCAUCUUUGUUGUCGGUGCCUCCUCUGUCAAUUGGGUUGUGACUGGAUGCUUUCACGAAGAGCGAAGCGAAUAAUAUAAAUUAUCCAUUUUAUGGCGGCCUGGUUAUCACGGGUGUGUACAAAUUACGUGAAUAGUAAGUUUUGCACUAUCUUUGUAUCUAUAUUGCACGGUGCUAUCAUCUAUUUUUAUUAUUAGUAGUGAGAUAAUUUGAUUAAUGUCAAAUGGAAAUACUUUUGACAUGUAUAGGGUAUAUGCUUCAUAUAGAUUUAUAGCUUCUUUGGGGUGAAUUUAUAUUUAUAGAUUUUAUUUGAUUGACAUGAAUAUGCACAAGUGCACAGUAAACCACUACAAAUUUUACACUUAGCCACCAGGGAAAAAGAAAGGCAAAUAUUACUUUUGUGCCUGGUGACUUACCGGCAGGGGCGGAUCUAGCGGUGGGGCGGGCGGAGCUCAAGCUCCCCUACCACCUCUCGGAUAGUGGAGCCCACUUUGAGUCCCUCCAUAGUUUUUGAGGAAGAAUAAGAGAAGGCAAGAAAGAAAAACGAGAAGGAAACAAGCUCCUGCUAAGUUCAUGAACUGCCAUUGCUUACCGGAGGGUGACUUUGCUGCCACUGUGCCAGGCUAUGAGGGUGUUUGGUUCCAGGGACUAAAGUUUAGUCCCUUUCACAUUAAAUAUUUAGAUACUAAUUAGGAGUAUUAAAUAUAGGUUAAUUACAAAACCAAUUGUAUAAAUGAAGGCUAAUUUGCGAGAUGAAUCUGUUAAGCCUAAUUAAUCCAUGAUUUGACCUACAGUAAAUAUCUGCUAAUCAUGAAUUAAUUAGGCUUAAUACAUUCAUCUCGUGAAUUAGCUACGGCUUAUGCAAUUAGUUUUCUAAUAAUUAGUUCGCGUUUCAUCCUUCUAAUUGGUAUCCCAACAUCCGAUCUUGGGCACUGACUGAGGCUGAGGCAGCGUACUUUACUUUCAAGUCGGCGACUUCACCAAAACACCUUUUUUCUUCACGAGUUCGUACGGGUUGGCAGGACUGCAUCAACACGAUCUUCGGCCGAUUCUGUAAGUUCCGCUUAUCGAGUAAUAUCUAGGCUUUAACUUCGGACGCAUCGCUGCUGUUUCGUUUAGAUUUAUUCACCAGUUAUCGAUAUCAACUAGAAUCGUAGGUCUUACCUGUUAUUUUAGUUUUUAUUAUCAGUUAUCUAGCUUCAGGUACGAAUUGUCGGCUUUUAUUGCUUUCGUUCUUUGUUAUCAUACAGCCGAUUAGAUCUAUCCCAAGUGUUGCUUCUCUAGCGUUGCUUAGUUUGCUCUAGUAGCUUUUCUUUACAAUCGUUACACGGUAUCGGCUGUUUUAUAGCUGGUCACCUCUACAGUAAAUCGGUCGAUUCGCCGAUACGCUUUUAAAGACAAAUCGGAACUUUAGCCGAUCGGAGCCCCUAGAAUUUAAUACUUUCAUUUUCUUGUCAAUCAACAGGUCAGAUUGACUGGCACGCCGCGCGAACCGCACCAAGGCGAUAACUCGAACAGGAGUUAAGUAGAUUCUCCCGGGUCGUGUGUCGGACGCUGGGGAUCAUCGGUCGAUUUUCAACGCCAACAUAUACUAUCAUCAGAAGGACAAGGAAUUCAACAGUAAGGAUCUGCAGAGUUCAGUGGAGCCGACAUGGAGAAAAGGAAGCUACAUGGCAACGCGAAGACGCGUUAAAGAAAGAGUUUCCCCAUCUGUUCAGAAUUCAGCCGAAUCUCGGGGAUGAGAUUCAAUUUAAGUGGGGUAGGUUUGUAACAUCCGUAAAAAUCACCACUCUUAGAUUACUCGUUAAAAUUAUUUUCAAAAUCUUUCGACCGUUGAGCUUCCAAAAUUUCUAACCUUUCUGGCGAUUUUGCCAUCCCGGCAACCAAGCCAACCGCCAUGAUUUCCUUCCUUCAUUUUUCUCCGCCGCGCGCUCAAACAAAAAUCUCAUAUGUGCCCGACCGUUUCCGCAUUUCCCGCCAACUCUCCUUUUAUUUUUCUCUCCCUUUUUCACUUCUCUUUUCUUUUCUCCUUUUCUUUUCUUCCUUUCUUCCUUCUUCUUCCUCCUUCCUCUUUCUUCCUCCUCCUCCCUUCUUCCUAGCAAUGUGCGCAGCCCCCCCCGGCGCACCGCGCCUCCCCCUUGCCCCUUCCCUAGCCGGCUCCCCGAGGCCCCAAACACGCACCUGGCCCUCCCCUUGGCCAGCCCCACCUGCGCCCUAGCCGGCGCUGUGCGCCUGGCCCCCUUCCCUGCGUAGGCCACGCCUGGGACCCCUACCCGCCGGUAGCACAUCCGACGCUGCCGCCGCGGUCGUGACUCGCCUUCCGCCGGCCCCUCCUGUCGCCGAUCCCCUACCUCACCGGCCGCCCAAGCUCGCUGGACCGGGGGCCCAUAACCGGUGGCUCAUUUUCUUCCUCCCCAACCGGCCUAUAAAAUGGGGGUGACGCCCCAGCCGCCGCCUAACCUCCUUGUCCAAGCCACCAGUGCCUCCCCCACUGUCCCUUGCGCCCCCUCGCUGCCGCCCGACAAGAACUCUGGCCGCCCCAAGCUACCGCCGGCCACCCCCUUCCCCUAGCCGUUUCGCCCAAGGUAAAGGCAAAAUGGGACCUCCAUGAUCCCCUCCCCCUUUUCCCCCACCGUGAGCUCGCCGCCGGCAGCCCCCCUCCCCCCUCCCUCCCUCCAUCCCUGUCACGCACAGGACCAAGGAAGAACAAGACUUUUCCCCCAAUUUUGAUCUAACCCCCUCAUUUUCCAUAUUCGCGAACCAGCCCUCCCACCUCUCUCAAAGUUUUCUCACGGAUAUGCCCUUCCACCUCCUAGAAAUAUUUGCAAAUAGGUCCCUGGUUCUUAAAGUUUGGUCCUAAGCUUUGUUUUAAUCCCCUAAUACCCCGUUAACUCAUCAUUUCAUGCACCAAACCACCUCCGUUCGAUCCCAAAUUCGAUCACGCCGUUCUCUAAAAUAUUUCCACCAAGUCACCUCUGAAUUACAUGCUCAAACUCGUUUCCUCUAAUUACCGUUCACGUUCUCUGUUCAAGCUCAACGGGAAAAGCUUUAAUUUUUAUUUAUUUAUUGUGUGCCUGUUUGUGUGUACCGUAGAUCGGGGAGUACCCGAGGAGGAGCCUGAGGAGGAGUUUGACUACGAGCUUGAGCCCAAGAACCAACCCCGCGAGCAAGAACUCCUGGCCGACUUCGAGGACGGCAAGUCUAAUGUCACCCUUUGAUACGUAUUUGUCCUAGUUUUUCAAACACAACCUGUUGGCCUAUUUUUAUAAAAUUGCACAAUGUUUUAUUGCUAAACACAAUUGGAUAGCCACCCCUUAAUUGCUAUAAACAUUCCUUGAAUUGUCCUAUAAUUAUCGCUAAAUAUGACUCGCUCUGUUCAGAAGAUAAUUACUGCUAGAUUGCUUAGGACUUGUUACUCCACUCCAAUAUGACUAUCACAUGCUUUGUUAACAACUAGAAGUGUGAGUGUUUUUCCAAUGUGUAAACAGGUCUGGGAAUAAAUGAAAGAGUUGCCUAGAUGAGAUGGAUGGGUAUUUCUGUUGGAGGUAUGCCCUAGAGGCAAUCAUAGAGAUGAUGAUAUUCCAUUUGUAUCCAUGAUUUGUAUCAUUGAAUAUCCAUUGAAGGCUACUUGAAUUGAUUUGCAAUUAUGUGAAUUGUAUGUGAAACUCUUUACUUGUAUGGUUAUUCUAAAGUUGUCCCUAGUCGGAGUUCAUGUGAGGACACACAUGAAUAUUAGACUAGCACAUGUAUUAGUUGAUGACUAUGUUUCACAAGUCAUGGACAUGGAGAUGUUGAACUAAUAAUGUGGACACAUGUGGAGACAUGUGCUAGGACUGACCUAACACGAGAAGUAGUUCUCUCUUUAAACAACAUAUACGCUUUGUCCUUAGACCUGAGAUUGUCGCAUGUAUUCUAGAUGUGGAUCGACCUACUUAGGGGCUAUCAAACGCUACGCCGUAACAGGGUAGUUAUAAAGGUAGCUUUCGGGUUUGUCAAGAAGCAUGCUAUGAGACAUGGUCAAUCAAGAUGGGAUUUGCCCCUCUCUGAUUGAGAGUGAUAUCUCUGGGCCCCUCGAGUGAUCGGAUCCGAAAAUGCAUGGCCAUGCUACGUACGGUUAAGAGUUAACCUACAAAGGGAUUCCGAAUCACAGGAUCGAGAAAGAGCGGUCGGCUUGAAGCUAGACCAAAUAUCGUGAGGCAAAGGGAAUAGUAUGUAUAUUAUGUUGUGAUGGUUCGUCUGAUAUGAUCUUCGUGUGCGUAUAGGAGUUGGCACGUCUUGCUAGAGGCCGCUACCGACUAUUGGGCCGAGUAGGAGUACUCGGGCCAUGUCCAUACGUAUCCGAACCCAUAGGGUCACACACUUAAGGGGCUGGAAGCCCAAUUCGGAUCAGAUCCGAGUUGGAUUAGGUUUAGAUGUACUAAUGGGCCUCGGAUCCAGAGGCCCGUCAGGAACCUCUAUAAAUAGAGGGGUGAGGGCGCCCUAGGGUUUACACCUUUUUGGCGAAACACACCUACCGCGCCUCCCACGCCCUCGCCUGUUGCAACUCGUGGAUCUAGCAGUCCGGCUUGCGACGCUUCCUCCCUGCACGUGUGGAUACCUUGGAGGUGUUGUGCCUGCAGCACUUGGACGAGCCGCCGACGAGCCGCCGACGAGCCACGACGAGCCAACGACGAGCCGCGGUACCGGAGGCGAUCUUGUUGCACGUGGACGAGCUGCUGAGGAGCUGCUGGACGUGAUCGACUACGUACAACUACGUUGAUCGACUACGUACGACUACGUGAUCGUCUUCACUGCAUCGACGCAUAUCUACAUCUUCCGCACCAGUAGUGCGUCGAGUGGUAAUCCCGUGAUCCUUAUACGGCAGUUCUUCCUGGUUAUACGCGGUAGAUUUUUUGAAUUGCGCUAGUGUAGCCUACCUCGUAUCCCAACAAUUUCUUGUGUGGAGUACCGAAAUGUUGAGCUCGUACCUCUAUGGUUGAGCAAGGUUGGGAGAUAUCCAUCUUGUCCCAGCUAAGGACCGAGUUGAUGUGCCAUAUUGCCUAACCCAACUAUCGUGCAACCCACUCGACCGUUGUAUGUGGCAACAGCUUAGCAUAAACCCUGCUAGCUAGUCUGAUAGCCGUCAGGAGAGCUGGUGAGCAACGGGAGACCAUGGAGCGGGACUAAACCCUGUAUGACCUUAGAUCCUGGCUAAGACCUCCCUAGGAUUGUUAGCCCCUUGGUUUGCUUCCGUGAUGGCUAGACAGUUUAGCUAAGUUGGGUAAUGGCUUUGAUAAGAUCUGCCCCGGCACUAAGGUGUUCGUGUUGCGGUACCCUACUUGUGGGAAAAGUGUACAACCUCUACAGAGUUAAAAUCUAUCCAGGUAGUCGUAUCCACGGUAUUGGAUGAGUUACGGCUUGGACACAUAACUAGUGCUUGGGAAAGGGAUAGUUUCAUGGUGUGAGUUUGGUUUUUGGGAAGUGUUCGGCUGUUGUGCCAUGAGCUACCUUGGACGGGGAGUCCAGUAGCACUAAAAUUUGGAUCCUUUGAGUAGGAUCAACCCUACUACUUAAUUUGGUUAUUAUGGAAUUGCUUGCAAAAACCAUUUGAAAAUAAACCCUUGCAUGUGUUAGAAAACUUGGCUUUAUUGCAAAUAAACCUAAACCUUAUCCUUGAUAUACAUCCUGUGCAUACUUUUGCUUGUAUCCCGCUCUGUGGAUGGGGUUGGACUUGUUGAGUACUUUCGUACUCACCCUUGCUUUGUUGCUCCAGAGGAAGACCUGGAGUAUGUCACCGAGGACUUUGAGUAGAAGGUCGCUUCAGCACCCAACACUGCCUGUGGUGUUGGCCUUUGCAGAUGGUUCCACUGUCGCCUAGUUCCAACUGCAGUUCAGACUUUGACUGGACUUUGGUUUGGAUUUGUAUCGUUAUCUGUUUGUUUCUCCUUUGGGGAUGGCUCGCCCUCCCGCUCCUUCGGGACUUAUACGGUUUCUGAACUAUCUGAUGAAAUAGAUGUGUUAUCAGCCUCCUGGGACUGAUAUUUCUAACACAUUUAGUCUCCGCCGAUGUGGGAACGCUUUAGGCCUGAGCAUCCUGUAGUGAAUGGGGGUAAAAACCGUGUUAAGCACAAUGUUAAAAAGCUGAAGCUCACAUUUAAUGAACUUCUGGCUAAAUAUCAAAGAGAUAACAAGGCCAAGCGUGCUAAUUGGUUAAAAGAUGUUAAGUUAUCAAGAUUGCCUCCUAAACGUAAUUCUAGGAAUGGGAAUUGGCAAGGAGAAAUGUUUUAUUCAGCGGCAUCCUGUCCUCCUUUUAGGCUAUCAAUGCUAGUUCCAUGUGCUCCACAUCCCACUAGUUUUUAUCCUUACUCAUUAUGGGGGUGGAAUGAUCCAUGGGUGCAUACUCCUUCACAUUUUAGACCAUAUCAUGUAGAGUAUGUAGCGCCUAGAGAACCAUCAUGUGCAAGGCAGCCAUAUGUGAAAAAUGACCAAUUUGAGGAAAAUGAUCGGUCUAGUGUUCAAAAUAAGAACAAGGUUGUCAAGCAAGUUUAUCGAGUGAAAAGAGAUGGUUGCAAAGGUAAAAGUUCAUAUCGGAAUUCAAUUAAUGAAAAGCUAAUUAACAUGUUAGGUACUUCGGCUAGUGAUGGCAAAGAUGAUAAAAAGAUCAGCCAUUGAUCCUCCAAGUGCCAAAUCUGACAAAAGAAGUUGAACAAGGCAGAAAACAAGAAAAGAGCAUUGCUGUCCAAAACUGAAGCAAAGUCAAACCAUCCACUUGGUUUAUCAAAUUGGCAGAAGAAGAAGCUGCAAAAGCUUAGUGCUCAAGAUUUGAGAAAGAAGAGCAUGGCAUGGGUUCCUAAAAGAAGCAUUCAAACUCAAAGCAAGGAUGAUGUUCAAGCAAAGGGUGUAACACAGUUGAAGGAGAAGAGGGAGUUUGAGAGACAAUCUCCAAAACUAAGGUUUACACCAAAUCAUCAAAAUUUUUGGUCAGUACCUCAUCCAUUUGCUUUACAAAUACCAUAUGUGCCUAUAUCUUGGAAUUCAUCCUUGGAUAUGUCUGGUUGUCCCUCACACUCUUAUUUUGAUCCUUGGUCAUAUGGGUCUUUAUAUCAUAGAGGGUUGUCACCAAAUUGCUAUGCACAUUAAUUAAAUUGCAAUAGGUGUAAUUUCAAAAGUCGAAAUAUUUAGUUCUUAGAGAUGGUUUUAAUUCCUGAAUUUAUAUAUCUCUAUAUACUUUUAUUUCUGGCUGUGCAUAUUCUUACGGAUGGAUUCAUUAUGAAUGAUAUUGAAUUAUCAUCCUUGGCAACGUAUAUGGUCGAUGAAGCUCUUUGAUCAUCGUCCUAAAGUAAUGGCUUCCCGAUGAGAGAUCAUUUUUACCUUACUAGUGCUUUAAGUGCUCGAGGGGCAAGAUAUUAGCAAAAUGAGUAAUUUGCCAUCAUGGAGUUUGUAUUUACUAAAUUGGCUUGCAAAGUGUUUUCAAAACAUUGGUGCUAUCUUUAUUUCACCAAAUGCUGUUGUUUUGAGAUCUUUAGCCGGUUGAAGUAUUUAACAUUAGUAAUUAAGCUGAAUAUGAAAUUUCUCUACUCAGGCUAAAAAUUUUGGAAUCCAUGGUUGGAAAGCAUGCUGAAAUAUUUAAUGGCUCAUUGUUGAACGUAUAGCAAAUAUUUAUGCUUAAAUGAGUCAUUGGAUGUUUUUGUUAAUAGAAGUCAAGAGGAUUCUCUCGAAUUCUAUUAUGUGUCAUGGCUCUAGACAUAAGAAGUCCAGGAUUGUCACUCUGGAAUAAUGAGCAUCAGGUCGCAGUGUCCAAAAGGACAUUCUCAUAAGAGAAGACCGAUGUUUAGAAAUGCAAGAGGGUACAUCCUGAGCACCGGUCUGACCGCCAUCUGGAACCGGUCUGACCGGUAUGGCUUAUUUAUCUCAUGGAAAUUAUGAUUGAUCGGUUUUCAAAAGGUUUCAUCACACGUUGAUGAUGUCUUUAUUUCAUCACAUGAUGUGGUUUUGAUCCUUAGCCGAUUGAAAGCUUCAACAUUAGGAAUUAAGUUGAAUCUUAGUUUUUCAGUUCGAGCUAGAAAGAUUGCAAUCUAUGAGCAUAAAUCAUACAGAGACAUUUGAUGGUUCAUUGCUAGUAGUGCAGAAGAUAUCCAUGCGUAAAUGGAUCAUUGAAUGUUUAUAAAUGCCUAGAGAUCGUAUUUGAUAAAUACAAUCCUAUACCUAGGCGUGAGAAUCAAAAGUUAACACUCUGGCAUAACAAACAUCAGGCUAUAACAUCCAUGGGGACGCUUUUAUAUUUAAAGGCUGAUGUUUGGCAAUGUCAGAGAGCGCAUCCUGGGCAGACCGGUCUAAUCGUUAUGUCUACCACUUUGGCCAAUAAAGUUUCGGAAUUUGCUGGAGCCAACGCUGGUAGUUGAGGAAAGUCAGUUGUCAUUUAUUUGCAUAAUACAAGAUGCAUUGAAAUAUAAAGCAAGAGUAAACAAGAAGGGUUCAAGAGUAAUCUGGCCAUCAUCAAUUCCAAGGAAAUUGUGUCAUAUUUGCCUUUUUAGGCUGACUACUCACCUUACUUUAUUUUAUUGUUGAAAUGACUUGUGGGUGUGAUAUUGAAUCAUUUUAUCUUUCUUCAUUCUCAAUUUGAAAAGAAUUGUAAAGACCAAUUGACAUUAUAGCAAUUCGAUCGCUUUAUGCAUCCACGAUAGUUUGCAGGUGUGAGAAUGACUUUGAAUUAGUAUUUGAAGAAUUCAUAGCUGAGGCAGUGAUACUCAGGCUUAUCUCACUCGCACAAGGUGUAUAAACAUCAACAACAAGAUGGUUCCUUCAUAUUAGGCAGAAUCAAGAAUAUGGCUGAUAGACACUAUCGUCCUUAAAAGUGAAACAUGGUUAAUGCACUUGUACUUUACAUUGUUUUUGUGCAAAUAUAAAUAUUUCUUGGUACGCAAGUUUUACUAAGAAACAGGGAGCAUGUGCUGACGACCAAAAGUGGCAUCAAGCCGAUCAGGCUGCUCUCAGCCGGGGUCUGACACGGCCAACCGGUCUGACCGGUGGUCUUGGCCGGUCAGACCGGUCUGAACAAAGUGCUCGAAAUGCAUAUUGUACUUCACCAUUGCGUAGAGCUCGUCGAGACAAUUAUGCAUAUGUGGAACGUCUAAUUUGGAGUCCGGGUGAGAGAGUUAUGGCUUCGACAAGAUUCAUCCCUGGGCUGACCGGUCAUACCGGUUUGGAUGGGCGGUCUGACCAGCCAAAUCCGAGUUAGGAAUUGUAUUUUGACAUGGGAUUUAUGUAAUCUUCAACUCCUACUGGGGCAAGACCUCCCCACGCUAUAAGUAUAAAGGGUCAUGGCCGAUUGAGGACAUCCCAAUCGAAUCAAUCUACAAUUUACUUUAUUUCCUCAACCCUAAUACUUUUCCGACCCCCUUGUUGUUCAUCUAUUGUUCUCCACGACUAUAGAUGGCGUUCUAGGCUUGUUGGUCGACCUAGGGCACGCCGGCGACGUCCACGCCCUGACGGGGUCCCUCCCGGGCGAGAGCUUCGACGGCCUUUGCUAGUUUGCUCGUAAACUAGUCGUUCUUCACCACGUAAGUGCGUCGGUUAUCUCUUUGCUAGUUUGCUCGUAAACCUAGCCGUCCUCCACCACGUAAGUGUGGUUGUUAUCCCCUCGAACGAUCGAUCCCGGCCAAACCCUAGCAAACCGGUCUAACCGGAUUGCUGAACCGGUCUGACCGACCUGCGCAGCCUCUGUGCUACUCGGUCCGCUCGCGACCCGCACGAUCUAGCGCACUCGUGUAUUAGCCGAAAAAGACGUCAAAACUUACCAUGAGUUUUUGGUGCAUGGCUAUGCUCCGUGAGCCUGCAGUGUGCUGGGCAGAACCUCCAGUGUAUCGGUUUUGUCUCUUCUGGCCUGAGACUUGCAGGGCUUCGUCUGAAGCCCAGUGCUCAUCUUCGUCAUCCAAAUUUGUCUGUCUGGACCUGGCAGCAUCAAACGCUUCCUUAGCUUUCCUUGAUGAAGCCAAUUCCACCCUAGCCCUUGGCUUCUCAUCACACAGGAGCGAAGUGAAUGUUCUGACUAUUUUGCGCUCAAAUAGCUUCAGGCACUCUGCUUCGUGCUCAGGGGCUCUGCCAAUUCCACUUGUAGCGUCGCUGCAGGAGAAUAGAAAUAGAUUGGUAUUCAUUAUUCACACCUGAUGAAUUUAGAAAUAUGUUAUUGACUUAUGAAUCUUACAAGAAAUUCAUCCAUAAUGAUAGCCUUUGUAUCUGAAUGAUACUGGUGCCAAUGGAGAAUCAAUUUUUCCUGGUACAAUUCAUUUGUGCGGCGAUUGGCUGGUACAUAGGUUGAUCCUGGGUGCCACUGCUUGAGAAGUGCAGAAAUGGUGGACGCCACCUUGGGACAAGGAGGAUCUACAUCCCAGGUGCUGCUAAGAAGACAAGUCAAUAUAUCAUGUUCAUGAAAAUUAUGAAAUACAAGUCACCCUCAGCAUUGUAAAUUACUAGGCAUGUGUUUGGUUUUGAGACGAUAUGGGUUGGGUUGUAGCUGACCUCCUUUUCGGGUUGGGGUCGACCCAUCUCGUGUUUGGAUGAGAGGGAUGGGAUCGUUCCAGUUUUUUAUUUGAUUAGAGGGGUUGAGAGGGAUGGGAUGGAUGCAAACAAUUACAUGAGGCUGUUUUUUUAGCAAACCGAUCUUUUAACUAAACAGAAUCGCUGUAUUUUUUAGCAAACCGAUCUUUUAACUAAACAGAAUCAGCAGUUGAUUGGUUUAGGGUUUUUUUUAUCAAAUUUUUUUGUUUUAUGCUUCUAUCACUGGCUGCGACUCCAGCUCUAUUUCUCUGUGGGGUUGUGCAUUGCCCACAGCUUUCCCUCUAGUCGCCGCUAUCGAGGCACCCUCUCCCACUUUUAAUUUCAUCUUCAUCUACGAGAGGUAGUGACGGUGUGAGAGGGUGGCGGACUUGGCGGACCCAGCAUACAGUGAGUGAGAACGGGCCACCCCUCAAAUUCAAGAACUGCUAAGUACCCAACACUUUAGGCCGCAGCUCAAUUUUGUGCUAAGUACGCCAGAGGGGAGCACCAUCCAUUAGGUGUUGCACCAAUAAAAUUUUACCAAAAAUUUCUGUAGCCGGUACACCCUAUUUGUAACAUUUUUCAAAUACGGUAGUACAUUUACAUUUUCUAAAAGCAGGUUAAUAGAUACACAAUUUACUAUAUCACGAGGACACAACAAUUUAUGAAGAUGCAUGCUAGGAUUGCGCUAACACAACAAUGUAUACAGGUAGCUUGUAACAUGAAUGACGGGGCGUCCUGGAUGAUGCUCGUCGAAGAAGGUCCUUAUUGCAGCCUCUAUCAUUGGUACAUCUGACUCUUCACUUCUAUUCCAAGAGUAGCCCAAACCGAUGGCUACACUUUUCAGAUUCGUCAGAUGCUCGACGCCGGCAAGCCUGAUGCCACACGUCUUCACUUCACGCACACCCAAUACAAACCUGAGGGUCUCAACCUUGGGCACUGCUCCAGCUUGGAAGUGGAAGGAGUGGCCUGGUCGACGAGAUUCGAAGUAAUCAAGAGAUCUGAACACCGCACUGCUGCUGAAGACAAUCCCUUCACCAGGGACAUAACACGCCCCUAGCACAAGAUGGGCAAGGGCAGGUAACCCUGCAAGAACAGAAAUAUCAUCCUUGCAUAGCUCGUCAACAUGGAUUUCCAGGCUGCUGAGCGUGCUAAGCUGACCGACCCACAUAGGUAACCUUGGAAACGAGAAUUGCAGGUGGAGUUGCUCGAGACGACAGUCUGACAAGCACAAUGAGUUCCACCCAUCAUAAGAGCCUGUAUGCCUUUGGUUGAAUUCUGAAACAGUGAAAUGCCUCAGAUUGCCAUUGAGUAACUUCUGGAUGGAAUAAAACAGAGCAUCCUUAUGUGUUUCCAUAGUGGCGAAGUGGUGAUCAGUGAAACGCAUGUACAGCUCCCUUAGAUUCAGCAAUUCCCCGAGAGCCCUUAAAUUAUCGACCGACUGCUUGCUUGGAUCGAACCACUUCAGAGUAUGAAGAGAUUUCAUCUUGCUAAUCCCAUCAGGAUAAGCUAUGCACGCAGAAACCUUCAAAUAUGACAAAGCAGGCAAAUGGACAAUAUCAUGAGAAAGUUGGUACAACGGCCCAUGUAUAACCAAUGUCUCCAGAUGAUGUAGCCCACAAAUUUGUUUAGGCAGUUGCAUGCUCGAUCCAUGGUAGGAGCUUUGAACAUUUAAGUACCUCAGUUGAGACAGUUUUCCAAUUGGAGUAAGGUCCAAACCAUCAACCUUACAAAUAAACAGAGCUCGGAUAAACUUCAGCUCCAACAGUUCAAUGCUACGAUGAUGCAACCCAAAAAUACACAGUGAUCGAACAUGUGUCAGACUCAUGCGAGGUGCAAUUUUAUCAAGUCCUGCCUCACCAAGCUGCAGAGAGAGCCGGCGAGUCUUGCGAUGCUGUCUUCUGGUGAUUGUCUCUAUGUUUUCUACCACGCACAGAAAAUUCUCUUCUGCAGACUUGGACAGAAUUAGAUCCAGAACCAUAUCAUGAACUUUAUGAUAGAUACGCUCUGUGCGCCAAGAAAGAUGUUCCACAAGCUUGAUGAUCAUACUCCUGUUCACCAAUUCAUUAAAAUAGCUCCCUGCAAUUUUCAAUGCAUCUCUUCCAUCUAUUCCACAGACAAAUCCUUCAGCUACCCAUUGCAUAACUAACUCAUCCUUUUCAAUAUCAUGAUCCUCCGCAUACAUACCAAUAUAUAAUAAGCAUGUCUUGAGAUGAUGAGGAAGAUGAGUGUAACUAAGGUUUAGUAUCUGUCUCAUCCCUUCGGGCCAUCAAUACCAACAAGUCUUGACGAUUCCACAUAAAGAGCAGAUAUCCGAGGGUCGACAGCAACACCACCGGAUCUAGUCUUGCAGUCAUCUAGCUUGUACCUCAUGUGCCGCGCACUAGCCUCUUGCACACGGAUCUUGAGCUCUUGAAUUUGGUUGGCGAGCUGAUGCCGCGCCCUUAGCGUCUUAAGACGGCGCAACAAUCCUUUACCGUCGCAGGAACCUCCAACACGGUGCAUGAACUCAUCGAUGCAGUCCUCGAUGUCGUAGGACAUUUCCCUCACUUUGUUCCUCCACUGCUUGGUUUGGUUGUCCAGGUGCUCCAUGUCAGCGAGAUCUUCCAGGAGAGCGGCCAUGCUGCUGAGCUCCUCAUGGAGGAACGCCACCUGCAGGAUUGGGUUCAAGAAUUAAGAUAAAAGAAGGGGGCAAACUCCAUGAGACCAUGAACAAAAAAUUUGGAUCAAAAGGCACCUGUUUCCGCACAUCCUUGAGCUUGGCAUACUUUUCCCCCAUAAGAGUGGCUAGCUUUCCUAGGAGCGAGUUCAUCACUCCCACUGAGGCACUCACCAGUAUCUUCUCUGCCAUUCUGACAACCCUUCUCGGAUGCCGCCGCCGUGGAGGAUGAGGAUGGUGACCACGGGCGAGCGAAAAACCAGCGGUGGAACCUGGCGGGCUUGAUCGUUCCGAUCCGCCCGGAUUUACACGGGGGAGACGCCGGCCGCGUUGUUUCCGGGGGAGCGGGAGGAGCGAGCGGCCGGCGGCGCUAUGCCAUGGAGCGAUGGAGCAGUGAAGGUGACGGACGGCGGGGGCGAUGACCUCGGGUCAGCGCAAGGAGCUGGAGGGCGCGGGGCGGGGCGGGGCGGGGCGGAGCUGGAGGGGCUGGGGCGCGUGAAUGGAUAAGAGGGAGAGGAAGGGAAGGAAAGGGGAAGGAUAAGAAGACAAGUCAGUAUGCCAUGUUCAUGAAAAUUAUGAAAUACAAGUCACCCUCAGCAUCUGGCGAUAAGCAUAUGAAUUUACUAGACGUACUCGCCCCAUGUUAUUUGGAGUCAGCACAGGCCUGUCAGUGGUUCGAUGAGUUUUGUAGGGUCCCGCCCCUUGCGCUUUUUGGAUGAUCCGUUUAUACAUCCUAUGCCAACAGACCGUGCACCCUGCACAUGCUCAAGUACAGUCACUAACAGUGAAGAAUGUUUGUAGACACUUCCUUUGAAUAAGAAUUCGGUGUUUGGAUACGAGGUGUUAAACUUUAACAGUGUCACAUCGGAUGUUCGGAUGCUAAUUAGGAGAACUAAACAUGAGCUAAUUAUAAAACUAAUUGCAGAACCCUGUGCUAAUUCACGAGAUGAAUCUAUUAAGCCUAAUUAAUCCAUCAUUAGCAAUUGGUUACUGUAGCACCACAUUGUCAAAUCAUGGACUAAUUAGGCUUAAUAGAUUCGUCUCGUGAAUUACACUCCAUCUGUGCAAUUAGUUUUAUAAUUAACCUAUGUUUAAUACUCCUAAUUAGCAUCCAAACAUCCGAUGUGACAGGUGUUAAACUUUAACACAUCGUUGCCAAACAGGCCCGAAUUCAUUGAUACAAAUGAGGCAUUUCCACUAAGAAAGAUGCCACUGGAUUCAGUAUGACAGUGACAAACGUGAAAAAGCCCUUAUUUACUUCACCCCUAACUCCCAAUUUUAACACUAUGCAAAAAGAAGAUUCCCCAUCACAUCAAACUUGCGGUACAUGCAUGGAGUACUAAAUAUAGAUGAAAUUAAAAACUAAUUGCACAAUUUUGUUGUACUUUGCGAGACGAAUCUUUUGAACCUAAUUAGUCAAUGUUUGGACAAUAAUUCACAAAUACAAACGAAAUGCUAUAGUGUGCUACAGUGCCGGCACAGUAAUUUUGGCACUCCCAAUUUUGGGAACUAAACAAGGCCAAAGUGGAGGGAUAUACCUGGGAAUGGGGAGUGCCUGAUAAUUGGCAUUGAGGUAGUGAUUGCUCAACUGGUUGUCCUGCAAGAGCAAAACCAGAACAUACAACAGUGCUAGGUUUUCCUCAAAAGAUAAAACCUAGCACAGAAGGAGACAAACUUGAGACAACAGAAGGAGUUGUUGCAACACUCGUUUGUUGUAGUGAAGUUGUAGUGAAGCCCUGGUUGGCAAGUGAACCUGUAACCACUGUUUGGUAUUGCCCGUAGCCAGGUGGGAAGCAGUCAUGAUUGGUGGACACAGUUAGCAAGGUCAUUUGCGCUUGCUUGCAACACUUGCUUUUGAGGCAAUGCGCUGGGGCACAACCUAGUGAUGAUUCUGUCAAUAUCUGUAGGGUCAAAUUGAUCUUCAUUUGUAGAAAAAGCUGGCUCCUGGAUAGGAUUCCUGUUUCUGGUACAUUCUGGCCGUGUAUGCUUACUACAUGUGCGAUGAAUAUCUUCACUUGAAGAACUGAAAUUCCCUUUUCGAUCCUCAGCGCUAGUUUUGCUGCUCCUUUUUACUGAUCUGAUCCCACUCAGCUGUGUUAUCACUUGAAUCGACUUUCACCUGAUCAGCACAAGCAGUUUGACUUGGAGGCUCUACAGUUCCUGCUCCGCGAUACUACUAGAAAUAACAUGUCCGCUUUGAUUCUCUCCGUGGACCUCCUCUGCAUGCAUAGAAUGAUUGGAGAGCCCUUGUGCAUGGUUGACCUUGUUAGGAUGCUCCAAUCUUACCCUGUCUACACAUGCAGAUCCAGGACUAGCUGAUGGUCUAUAUUUCUUCCUAAAACCAUGCCCGUCAACAGUUUCGUUGAGGACAGGUGCACUUGUUGCGCAAUCCACAUGAAUAGCUGUCCUUGUUUGAUCUGGGGAACUGAUUGACUCUUCUCUAACUGAACGAGCAAUGGCCGUCAAUCGGAAAAAAAUGCUUACCAUUUCGGGAGGAUCGUGGCAUCCAUGUCCUGCAUAUUACGCCAAUCAGUAAUGGAAACAUCUUUCCCGCCCCCAAUUUCUCCACCCAGGGUCCAGGGGUGUUUGGGAAAAUCUGGGUCUCGUGGAUUUGGGAAGAGUAAAAUACACGACGGUCUUUGAACUUAUCUUGUGUUAUCAUCCGGAUCCCAAAACUCUCAAAAGUAGAUUUUUAGAACUUCAAAUUUAUCUCAAAGUGUGAUCUGGGUUCCUAAACUCUUAUUGUUACUACUGUAAAAUUUGUAAGAGAAACAAAACUUUCACAUUUUCAUUGUAACUACCCCUUAACCUAACUACGGCACACUGGACCUAAUCAGUUACUCUCCCAGAACAAAUGAUUAAGCAACGAUGGUAUUAUAGAGGAAUACACAAUCGAAAUAGAGUAAAAGUGGCAUAUGCCGCAUGACAAACUUGGCAAGCAACCUUAAAAUCUACCACCGUACCCUUUUAAAAAAAAACUACCACCAUACAAGCGUCUCUACUUCCGUGCACUAAAAUCGUGCUCACCAGAGCUUGUGGCAUGGGAGAGUUUGAUAUCAACAGGGAUAGCUUCAUGUCGAUGGCCUCAAUGAGCUUAAGGGGUGUUUGGAUACGAGGUGCAACUUUAGCAGGAUCACAUCGGAUGUUCGGAUGGUAAUUAGAAGGAUUAAACAUGAGCUAAUUACAAAACUAAUUGCACAGAUGGAGUCUAAUUCGCGAGACGAAUCUAUUAAGGCUAAUUAAUCCAUCAUUAGCAAAUGGUUACUGUAGCACCACAUUAUCAAAUCAUGGAGUAAUUAGGCUUAAUAGAUUCGUCUCGCGAAUUAGACUCCAUCUGUGCAGUUAGUUUUGUAAUUAGACUAUAUUUAAUACUUCUAAUUAGUAUCAAAAUAUCCGAUGUGACAGGUGCUAAACUUUAGUACACUGGAGCCAAACAGACCCUUAGUGGUGAUUAUGUUGGUGGUGGAUGAGGGAGCAAUGAUUACCGGUUUCAAGCAAGUGAAAUGUGAAGAACGAAGUAUGUGAAGAUUGCGGUGUUAAAGAUGGCAAGGUGGCUUAGUCGUUGGGUCUCUGUGGCAGUUUGCAACUUCGGGUAUGUUGGGUAACCCUAGGCACAAAAAACCGAGAAUUGAGAACCAAACCGAACUAACCGAAACUGAAGUAACCGAAACCAAAAAAUUCAGUCCCAGGUUUGGUCCAGGUUCCUAGGAACCGAAAUUAUUAUGGUUAAUUCGGUUCCAUCACUCGGUUAACCGAAUUGACCUGAAAUAACCGAAAGACCCAUAGAAUGCAGGCUUGAAUAUUGCUCUAUGCUUGAAUAUUUGAGAGAACAAUAACAUAUAUGUGUUGUACUGUUGUUUUAUGCUGCAUUGCUGUUUAAAUUGUCCCUUUUGACUACAUCAAAAUUAGGCAAAAUAUCGCCAAAAUUUGUAAUUGAAUGAGUUGUUUCUUGGUUCCUGAAAAAUUUGGUUCCAUCGGUUAGAACCGAAAUGGAACCAAAUUAACCGAAACCGAAAUUUCUCGGUUCCCCAUUUUCAAAGUAACUGAUUGGUUCCUUCUUCUCAAGUAACAGAAUUAGCUGAAGAACCGAAGAACCGAACCGAUCCAGGGUGAGUGUUGGGUACCUUUGCCGGAUCUUGCUUUGCUAGGCUAGGCAAGAAAUCUUGAAUUUGGUUGUCUUGCUCACUGUCUCGAUUUCUGUGCGGUCAAGAAUCUUCCUUGCUGGCCUAGGCUAACCGUGCCGAGCCCGUGCCCCCAACUAGUCCGAGCGCGUUGGGAUUUUGCCUGCCUACGGCUGCUAUAAGGUCGGGCUUCGUUUAUGCUUUGGACCUCUAUUUGCUUCAUUGGACCAGUUAGAGGAGGCUGUUUUUUUUACUGUAGUGUAUUUAAGCACUAUUUUACUGUACCCAGCACUCUAGGUCGCCGCUCAAUUUUGUGCUAGGUCCGUCAGAGGGGAGCACCAUCCAUUAGGUGUUGCACGAAUAAAAUUUUACCAAAUUUUCUGUUGCCGGUACACCCUAUUUGUAACAUUUUUCCAAAUACGGUAGUACAUUUACAUUUUCUAAAAGCAGGCUAAUAGAUACACAAUUUAAUGAAGAUGCAAUGCUAGGAUUGCGCUAACGCAAUCUGUUUAUGUUAAUUGGUAGAGAAGUUCUACAAUAUAAGUGCAAUUUAAUCAUCAUCAUCAAACUUGCCAGUGAUCGGAGAGGUUACUAUCCAUAGAAGCUUGUUAUAUGAAAGACGAGGCGUCCUGGAUGAUGCUCGUCGAAGAUGGCCCUUAUUGCAGCCUCUACCAUUGGUACAUCUGAUUCCCAGGUGUAGCCCAAACCGAUGGCUACUCUUUUCAGAUUCGUCAGAUGCUCGACGCCGGCAAGCCUGAUGCCACACGAAUUCACUUCAUCCACAUCCAAUUGAAACCUGAGGGUCUCAACCUUGGGCACUGCUCCAGCUUGGAAGUGUAAGGAGUGGCCUGUUCGACGAGAUUCGAAGUAAUCAAGAGAACUGAACGCCGCACUGCUGCUGAAGACAAUCCCUUCAUCAGGGACAUUCGUCGCCCCUAGCACAAGAUGGGCAAGGGCAGGUAACCCUGCAAGAACAGAAAUAUCAUCGUUGCACAGCUCGUCAACAUGGAUUUCCAGGCUGCUGAGCGUGCUAAGCUGACCAACCCACAUAGGUAACCUUGGAAAGUUGAAUCCCAGGCGGAGUUGUUCGAGACGACAGUCUGACAAGCACAAUGAGUUCCACUCAUCAUAGUAGCCAACUGCUGCGGAAAAAUCGAAGUGCCUCAGAUUGCCAUUGAGUAACUUCUGGAUGGAAUAAAACAGAGCAUCCUUGUUUCCGUAGUGCGGAAGCUGUCAUCAGUGAAAUGCAUGUCCAGCUCCCUUAGAUUCAGCAGUUCCCCAAGAGCCCUUAAAUUAUCAACUGACUGCUUGCUUGGAUCAAACCCCUUCAGAGUACAAAGAGAUUUCAUCUUGCUAAUCCCAUCAGGAUAAGCUAUGCACACAGAAACCUCCAAAUAUGACAAAGCAGGCAAAUGGACAAUAUCUUGAGGAAGUUCGACCAACGGCGCAUCUAUAACCAAUGUCUCCAGAUGACGUAGCCCACAAAUGUGUUUAGGCAGUUGCAUGCUCGAUCCAGGGUAGGAGCAUUGAACAUUUAAGUAACUCAGUUGAAACAGUUUCCCAAUUGGAGCGAGGUCCAAACCAUCAACCUUACAAACAAACAGAACUCGGAUAAACUUCAGCUCCAACAGUUCAAUGCUACGAUGACGCAACCCAAAAAUACACAGUGAUCGAACAUGUGUCAGACUCAUCCAAGGUGCGAUUUUAUCAAGUUCUGCCUCACCAAGCUGCAGAGAGAGCCGGCGAGUCUUGCAAUGCUGUCUUCUGGUGAUUGUCUCCAUGUUUUCUACCACGCACAGAAAAUUCUCUUCUGCAGACUUGGACACAAUUAGAUCCAGAACCAUAUCAUGAACUUUAUGAUAGAUACGCUCCAUGUAAAAAGUAUGAUGUUCCACAAGCUGGAUGAUCAUACUCCUAUUCACCAAUUCAUUGAAAUAGCUCCCUGCAAUUUCCAAUGCAUCUCUCCCAUCUAUUCCACAGACAAAUCCUUCAGCUACCCAUUGCAUAACUAAGUGAUCCUUUUCAAUAUCAUGAUCCUCCGGAUACAUACCAAUAUAUAAUAAGCAUGUCUUGAGAUGAUGAGGAAGAUGAGUGUAACUAAGGUUUAGUAUCUGUCUCAUCCCUUCUAAAGUUGGAUUUGACCUCAGAUCGGAACGUAAAGAAUUAAGGACAUAAUUCCAUUGGCUCACUGAUCUGGUCGAUUGACUAGCUAGAAGGCUAGCUAUACUGAUGAUUGCUAGUGGCAGUCCACCACAUUUUUGAAGAAUUUUUUCAGAUGGUUCUUCAAAUGGAUGAGGACAUGUAUUUUCCAACCCAAAAACUCUACCAUAAAACAACUGCCUGGAACUAUGAUCGUCAAGAGGUUUCAUCCUGUAAACAAAUUCCCACUGAAAAUUGCAACAUGUCACUGCCACCCUUUCGAUUCGUGUAGUUGUCAACACUUUGCUACCAUAGUGGCCCUCGGGGAAAGCACAUUUUAUAAUUUCCCAUGCUGAUGCAUCCCAUAAAUCAUCAACUACAACCAAAUACCUGCCAAUAUGCGUGUCCAAAUACACAUAUUAAUAUGAUACAGCAAGUAAAAGGUUUCUUUUUAUAAACAACUUGCACUGCUUUCAACUAAAAUAAAUCUGUUGAACUAUAACAUCCAAAAUAACGUGUCUAUGUAACUUGUUAGCUAAACCAGCUGAAUUAGCUUGCCAAAAUUCCGAUUCAUAGUAAAGAUUGUAACAUCACCCAUAUGAGCUCUAGAAAUGUACUGGAGAUUGUCUCAAUAAAUAGAUGAACCUUAAGGAAAUGUAUUGUAUUGGAUCAGCAAAGCAAAGUAAGUAAAACAAAUUUGACCCUAACCUAUUUUAAUUUUGAAAUUCUGAUUUUAUUGUGCAUAUUUAAAUUUCAAAGAAACUGAAAUUCAAUCUAGUUAAAAACGUGGAAGUUACAAAUCCUGCAGCUUAAAAUGGUGCGUAGAAAAGAGUGGAGUGUUGGUGAGAGGUACAGUUGAACUUCAAUUCAUAGUGCCAUGUAUGUAAAGGCCACAAAAAAGGAACAGGAAACACAAAUCAAUGCCAGAUAACCUAGUGAAAUAAGACCAAAAGUGAGCCACCUCCCACUAUAGACAUGGAAGCAAGCUAUGUGUCAUUAGGAUUGUGCUCUGUUGUCAUCACGCUUUGUUCAUUCUUUUAGUACUUUUAUACUUUCUAAUAAUAUGUUAAGAUAGGUUAGAAAUGUGAGCGUUGAUGUGUUGAAAAGAAUCUAGGAGUGUAGGACAAGAAUAAAUACCUUUUGUCCUGUAGAUACUUUCUAAGGUUAUGUAUGAGCCCAUUCAACUCGCAAAUGUCAGGUCUUUGAGACACUGGGACAAAAGCCUUGCAAGCAAAACUUUCACCAAAGUUUUUGUAUACUUCAUUUGCAAGGCCUGGCGUGGGGCGCAGCCGAGGAGGUGGCGUGGGGCGUGGGGCGUGUGUGGGAGCUGGGAGGAGGGCCUCCCGGCGUUAGCGAACACAUGCACACCAUCGAGUUGGGCUACCGAGUCGCGAUCGAGGAGUUCGACGCUGAAUCACUGAAGGUCGUCGACAUCGCCGUUCGUAGUCGCCACCGAGGUUGCCUUCGCUUCUCUGGUUGGCCGUACAGACAAGAUUCCCAGACGCAUCUACGUACACCAGGUCCCUAUGACCAUGCGACUCCAUGAAACGAACCGGAACAGCACGAGAAGAAGGAAAUGUAGCUACCGAUGCAUGCAAGAUUGAACCAGGGAUGUUUUCCGAUUGAACAGCACGUACAAAGGGAGCAUAUUCUUUACUCGGCGUGGCGUGUUGACACAGAUCAAUUCGUCAAUUUCAAGAUCGGAGCGGACAGGAUCUGUUUGUCGCCAGCAAAUUAGCCGACGCCAUCGAAGUCCAAGUCACCGGACCACAAGGAAGUUUCCUCCAACUUGCCGAGUGCCCGAGUCCCGUACGGAAGCGGUGAAGUUUAUUCCAUCCGCUGCUCACGCGGAUCAAUGCACAAGCAAUACGCGGACUGCAUGUUCUUUUAUUGGGCUUUACAGUGCCCCUAACAACUCCCGAUCAUGGGCUAUGCAGCAUGCAUCACCACACCAUCAAAAUAGCAAGCGCCUGUUUGUCGCCAGCAAAUUAGCCGCCGUCGUCGAAGUCGAAGUCACCGGACCACAAGGAAGGUCGCGUUUGGAUCCAGUGGCAAGCCUCGCCUCGCUUUGUCUGCACAGAAGACGGAGAUAGUAGAUGAGUUUGGGCCUUGUUUAGUUGAGGCCCGAAUCUAGCUUUGUACAGUGUUUGGGCUUCCUUUUGGGACUUUUGAACUAAACGACCUGCCCGAUUUCGGCCCAAACUUCGCAACCUUAUCCAGCGGCAGACGACCGGCCGCACUCCCAACCCUAGCACCGUCCGCAGUCACGCUCCCUCUCCCCCGCGCCGCUCGCCUCUCCCCCGCCGCUCUCCCCCUCCCCGCCGCUCUCCCCCCUCCCCCGCGCCGCUCGCCCUCUCCCCCGCCGGUGUCCUCUCCCCCGCCGUUCUCCCCCUCGCCCGCGCCGCUCGCCCUCUCCCCCCGCCGGUGUUCGCUCCACCGCCGCUAUCCCUCUCGCCCGCGCCGCUCUCAUCUCCCCCGCCAAUCUCCCCCUCCCCCGCAGAUCUCCCCCUCGCCCGCGCCGCUCGCCCUCUUCCUCGCCGGUGUACGCUCCCCCGCCGCUCUCCUCCUCGCCCGCACCGCUCGCCUCUCCCCUGCCGCGCUCGCCUCUCCCCCGCCUAGAUCUGUCCCCCUCGGCCGCUGUCCCACUCCCCCGCCAGGAUAUCGCCGCAUCCGCUCCAAUCGACCUUUCCACCACCAGAUCCAGGACGUACUCAGUCCGCUGCACCGCGUCCGGUACCGGGUGCACCGUUGUUGACCCAGGCGGCGGCGAUGGACCACUUCAACGAGGAAGGGGACGGCGCGGAGUUCAACGCCGGCGGAUCUAGACUCCCCGCGGGCUUCACCGCCAGCGGAUCCGGCAACCCCGCUCCCUUCAACGCCGGCGGAUACGGAGAUGGCUUUUCGGGUUUGGACUUCGGCAACGUCCCCGACUACGACGCCGGCCACCGCACUAGGAACUUGUUCUCCCUGGCGCCGCCGGGCUCAGGAAGCGGUGCGUACAACCCCUUCUCCUCUGUGCCGCAGAAGACCCUAUCGUCCACCUUGCCCACCCCAAGCCAGCUGGGCAUGGCCGGCCUCAACCUGAAUGCAACCUCCGGGUGGCUGAACAUGAACGACUACGAAGGCAUCCUUCGCUCCGGCGACCGAGUUGGAGGAGGCGGCAGCAGCCGAGUCGGCCCUCCCGGCGGAGAGGGUUCCGGCAGCGGUGUCCAGGCCACGGCUCCCUUGCCUCGUCAGCGGCGUCCUACGGCCAGGGCACGCGGUUCCCGGCGUCGUGGCGCGGCUCAAGCAGUGGAAGCCGAGAACAAUCCGGUACUUGUUCCCACUCCCCCUCCCCCCUCUUUACUUCCAUGAUCUGGAUAUGUGGUGGCGCGUACAGCCGUGCCUGGUGUGCAUGGAAUGUAUUGCUUACUCACGGUUACUGUCAAUAGGAGUUCUUGCAUUGCUUGUUCGAUCAUGAUUUAUCCCUGGUGUGCAUGAAAUGUAUUGCUUAGUCAUGGUUACUGUCAAUAGGAGUUCAUGCAUUGCUUGUUCAAUUACAUUUAUCCCUGGUGUGCAUCAAAUGUAUUGCUUAGUCAUGGUUCCUGUUUGUAGGAAUUCAUGCAUUGCUUGUUCAAUUACUUUUAUCCCUGGUGUGCAUCAAAUGUAUUGCUUAGUCAUGGUUACUGUCAAUAGGAGUUCAUGCAUUGCUUGUUCAAUUACAUUGUGCACAGAAUGAGCCAAGCAGGGCCAAGUGGACAAAAGAGGAUACACAGAUCUUUUGUGAGCUUUACUGCCAACAAAUUGAGUUGGGUAACUGCAAGAGUGGCAACAUGAGCAAGUGGGGCUGGAAAGAUGUUCAGGAGAAGUUCCUAGCGGCGACUGGCAAGUUCAGGAACAGUGAGCAGUUUGGUUACAAGUACAGGCAGUUGAAGUUGCUUUGGCAGUUCAUCCAAGAUUUGCGGACAAAGUGCACAGGCUUGGGGCACCGAGAAGAUGGCUCUGUGAUUGCUAGUGAUAACUGGUGGUAGAAAAAUUGCAGGGUUAGUGAUAUGUGAACACCUCAUAUGUACUCCUUUCCUUCCUGUCGUAGCUACUGAAUGUUUUUGUGUUGUUAUUUGCAAUGCAGGGGCACGCAGACUGGUAUGAUUUGAAGGAUGGAUGGCCAGAAUACAUUGACGAGCUGGACCGCAUGUUCUGUGGAGUAGCAGUGACUGGAGAUACGUCCUUUGUUCCAGGGGUCAGCCGGCAGAUCAACUUCAUCAGCAGCGGCGAAGAAGAUGUUGCUGAUGCGGACUGUGCCACCCCUCGCAGCUGUGCCACCCCAGUCAGCAGUGGGAGCAAGAGGAGCUCAAGCAGCAUCCGCAGCACUGCUACAAGCCCCAGCAAGAAGAACAAGGGCGGUGCUGUUCAGAACAUGAACAGCAACAUGACAAGGUUCAACUCCAGUUACGAUCACAGGACAUCAAUUAUCCAAAGGGCCUUGGAGGAUAAGAUGAAGGAGGGUGAGGAUGUGAUGGACAAGAAGCAGCAGCGAGAGGAGGCUAGGAAGCAAGAACAGAAACUUGUGACAGAUUCAACGACAGAGCUUGGAGUGCACCUGAUGGAAGGACAACUCUGGAAUGGUGUCGUCAAGAUCUGCAUGGAUGAUGACCUACGCAACAUCUUCCUGUGCACACCUGUUCAAGCAAGGCUGUCAAUGAUCAAGCAAUAUGCAUCAAUGGUGUAAACCAGACCCUAUGUCUUUUGUCUGUGCUUGGCAUGUCUUUUGUGUUACUGUCAUGUCUUGUUGUUGAAUUAAGUUGUGUUGGUAUUGUUUAUGUUGUGAGGAUGAACAUUUGAUGAACUGUGUUGGCUAAUCCUAUAUGAACAGCAUGGUUAUUAACAGCAUGGUUGUUCAUUAGAGCAGUUUGGUUAUUACUUGUUAAAGUUAUUGCCUCUGUCUUCAUAUGGGUAUUAUUUGACUGAAGGUAGCAGCAAUUACUACUGUGGCUACCAAUUGAUUUGUACUAACUUUUGCUGUGUUAUUUUGGAAUGCCCAGGAUGUUGCUGCUCAUUUUGGUGCCCAAGUGGAGGAGGAGGUCGAGGACUAGGAGGAGGAGGAGAAGUUGCUGGCCGAGUGGUGGGACCUAUUCUGGACAUUGGUGGUAGAAGACGAUGAUGAAGCACCAUUUAUCUAUGGUACGUAUGGAUAUGCUAUUCAUAUCGACAAGUAUUGCAAUAGAGGACCGUAUAGGAAUCCACCAUUGACUGGGGAGCAAUGGGUAGUUAACAAGCUUGCCAAUGAAACAUCUUGCUACACCAUGUUUAGGGUGACCCCACACAUGUUUUAUAGGCUGCAUGACUUGUUGACAUCUGAGUAUGGGCUGACUGCAUCAAAUAAAUCUAGCACUAUUGAGGCUCUAGGAUUGUUCCUUUGGAUAUGUGGGGCACCACAAUCUGUUAGGCAAGCAGAGGACAGAUUUGAGAGGUCACUAGCCACUGUGCAUAGCCUAUUCUACAAAGUCCUCAAUUGUCUGGUAGACCUAUCUGCCGACAUCAUUAAACCUAGGGACCCAGAGUUUAGAACAAUGCAUCCUAGGUUGCAAAACAAUAGGUUCUACCCUGAAUUCAAGGGUCGCAUAGGGGCAAUAGAUGGCACUCACAUUCCUGUAGUAGUGCCAAGUGCAAAGUUUAUGCAGCACAUGUGUAGGAAGGGCAAGACAACCCAGAAUGUCAUGGCCGCUUGUGACUUGGAUAUGGUUUUCACAUUUGUGCUUGCUGGGUGGCCAGGUUCAGUGCAUGACAUGAGGGUGUUUGACGAUGCAAUGACAACUUACAGCGACAAGUUCCCAAAGCCACCUAGAGGUACACACAACUGUUUCUAGGUCAGUAGUGUUUUCUAAUACAACCAUUGUAAACUUACAUGUAUCUACUGUUCCUAUAGAGAAAUACUACUUGGUGGACUCGGGGUAUGCAAACCGCACCGGCUUCCUAGCUCCUUACCGCCAGACCAAGUAUCACAUCCAAGACUUUCAAAACGCGCCAGAACCACAAGGUAUGAAGGAGAUAUUCAACUUUGCACAUUCAUCUCUUAGAAAUGUGAUCGAAAGGGCGUAUGGAGUGUUGAAAAUGAAGUGGCGCAUAUUGUUGGACAUCCCGGCCUAUCCACCAGAAACACAGACACGGAUUAUAUGUGCAUGCAUGGCGUUGCACAACUUCAUUAGGAUUAAUGGUGACUUUGAUAGUCACUUUGGUAUAGUGGAUAGCAACAUUAACUAUGUGCCUAUUGAAGGCACUCAGGAUCAGCCGGAAAUAGUGCCUGCACCGGAGAGUGCGGACAUGGCAAGCAUGAAUGCUUUCCGAGACAUGCUUGUUGAACAUUUGUUUGCUAGGUCUUGAAUAAUUUGUGUUUGAGGACAUAUAAUUGUUUAUGUACUUUGUGAUUCGGUGUAAUAAUUUUCGGUGUUGUUAAUCUGUAACAAUUUUAUGUGUUGUGAAUCUGUAAUAAUUUGCGGUGCACUUGAGAAUAUUUUCCUUGAAGUUUUGUUGUUGAAACAGCAAUGAAUUGUGUUGUCAUUUGGCCUGGUUCAGUGCAUUUUUUGGAGGACAACAUGCAUGGGCCAAUGCUGAAUUGUGUUAUAAUGGUGAAACAGUGCCUGGUAUAAUGAUUCAACAGUGUAAUGCAAAGUUUGGGGACAGCAGUUUGGACCUCCAGAAUUUGGCAUGAGGGCCAAAUUUCGGCUGCACAGUAACUCCCAAGUUGGGAGGUCCCAACUUGGACAACUAAACAAGGCCUUGGUUUGCUUGGCGUGUUGCCUAGGGGCCUGUGCAAGCAAGUUUUUGCUUGCUGAAGCAAGCCAGCCGGAACGGCUCUCCGGAGAGCCGUCGGCAAGGCAAGCCAUGCCCGGCAAAGCGAGGUUAGGCAAAGCUAUGUCCAAAACCAAAGGUGCCCGAAGUUUCCUUCAAAUUGCCGAGUACCGUAUGGAAGCGGUGAAGUCCAAUUAAUGUUAUUCCAUCCACUGCUCAUGGGGACCAAUGAAUAUCAAUUUGUUGGAUCUCGUCAAAAGCACAAGCAAGGUGUACGCGGACUAUAUGUUCUUUUCACUGCGCCAUAAACGAUUUGCAUUGGCGAGCGUGUUUGGCAUCCGCCAGCACAGUUUCAUCGGGCUGGUAGGGGAGCGACCGCCAGCACAAUAGCUACUGUGCUGGCGAGCUACAUAAGUACCUGCCAGCACAGAUAGAAUCAUUUGUAUUGGCGGACGCUUAUGAAGCCCGCCAGCACAUGUCGAUGGAUGCACCUGUCCGUCUCUCUGUCCCUGUGCAGCUGCAGUGGUGGAGGAACGAACAACUCGAUUGCAAGGAGUGUUCCGAAUCUGUGAGCAUUCUUAUCUCUUCGGCCGUAUCGAGGCAUAGGAUGACUUCUUGGGCCAUGUGCAUCUUCAAUUUGGCAUCCGAGAUGAGUGAUCUACUCCAGGAUUGUAGCGCUCGGGCCGUGGUGUGUAAUUUGUGCCCCAGUCUGUGAAAAGGCUCAGUAUGGGUUGUCGGCUUCGACCAUUCCCGGGUUACCACUUCGUAAAAUCCCGGUAGACGCGUCCAGAAGUUUUCAAAUUUGAAGGGCGUCAGUUUCCUAGGUCCAGAUUGCUAUGCCAGUAGCAGUGGGCAGUGGUCCGAGUGUGAGGAGGAGAGCGCGUGUAGAACAUGUUCGUUGAAAUUUAGAUCCCAGUUCUCGUUGCAGAAGACUCAGUCGAGUCGUGACAGCGUCGGUCGAUGCCUGGCAUUGCUCCAGGUGAACCUCCUAUUCUGUAAAUGUAUCUCUUUUAGACCACAGUAGUUUAGUGCAGUUCUAAAACUACUCAUCAGCCGCCAAUUUAGAUUGUUGUUGUUUUUAUCUCUUGCACUGUAUAUUAGGUUCAAAUCCCCUAGUACGAGCUAUUUAGUGUCAUCAUCCGGUCUCAUAGCUCGUAGGUGCCGCAGGAAGGCAGGCUUUGCGGAAUGACGUGAUGGGCCGUACACUGUCGUUAGUUGGAAGGGUGUGUUGCUAUAUUUUACUACCGUCGUUGCCAAAAUGGAGAAACGUCCCAUCUGGACAUCCUGUAUGUCAAAAACCCCGUCAUCCCAGAGGAUGAGAAUUCCUCCUUUUGUGCCUAAAGCCGGUCUGUAUGCGAAUUGAUUUAGUUGGUGUCCCCCCAAGAAAUUGGCUAAAGUUGCAUCGAUGUUUUGUAGUUUCGUUUCUUGUAGGCACACUAUGUGGCAUGUUGUUGUCGCAAUAGUUUCGCGGACCGUUAGACAUCUAGCUGGAGCGUUGAGACCUCUCACAUUCCAGCACAUUAUUUCAAAGUUGCCUAUCAUUUGGAUGUGGUUUGGUGUGCUUGCUUGUGCGUUGCGAGGCAUGUGGCAGAGUAGUACGUUGUUAUGAUGUGUGACGUGUAGAGCAUGGAUGUUGUUGAGGCCGUCGAGUGGCGGUCAUUGGCGCCGUUUGUCGUGGGAAUCAUCGAAUGCAACGUCCGAAGAUCAUGGCUAGCCGGGCAUAGUUUGUAGUUCGCGAGUUUUGUCCGAAGAUCGCAGCCAGCAGGGCUAGUGGAAAGUCCUCCAUGAAGGUCGCAGCCAGCAGGGUGAGGCACUGGAGAGGGGUGAGGCACUGAAAUGCAUAAAAGUAGCGAUACAUAAAGUAGUGGUAAAACGCAUGGGUGAUGUGCUUCAUCUUGAUUAUCAUGUAGCCGCGCACUGCUCGUGCUGGAGUUCUUCUACGGCGUCGCCCACCAUCUGCAGAAGCGCGUCAUUCAUCUGCUCUGUUGCGUCGUCGUCGAGGUCGAAGAGGGCAGUCAUGGCCGCUACGAUGAAGUCCGGUAGUGCCCCGUGGUACAUGCUGAUGAAGUCUUGUAGGACUUGUGUCAUUUCAUCGUCGUCGACGCCAAGCUUCCUCCAAAGGUUGCGCUGGGCUCGCUCUAUGGCCGGCAUGACCGGCUUCUUAGCCAGUCGCGCGCUCCGCCGCACCUUGUUCAUGUCGAAAGCGCGGCACGGGCGCGUGCGCCGCGUUGGAAGCUGUAGCACUGCCAGCGGUGGAGUCAGGAAGAGGUCAUCCACGCUUGGGGCAGGCACGGCAGGUGCAGGGUCCUGCUCGCUCUGCAGGCCAGUGCGUGCACUCCCCAGGUGAGCCUCGUCCAGCAACUGGGCUGUGGGCGCACUGCUAUUGUUGGCCGCGUGCAGCCCACCAUCUCGCACGUCGCAUGCGCCUCCGUCUAUGGCCGCACCUGCUGUAUCCAGCGACCUUGGUGCGCUCCCGUGCAGCAGCAGAGAAGGCGCGGCCCCUUCGUGGGCCACAUCUUGUAUCUGGGCCGUAGGCGCGCCCCCGCUUUGGCCCAGGAAGUUGGAAACCCCCUGGCACAGCAAGGCGCGCAUGCUCCCUUCGCGGGCCGCGCUCGUGGGCGUGCUCCCGCUGUGGGACGUGUCCGGGCCAGUGGGCGCGUCGCUGAUGUGGGCCGCCGCCUGGGCCAGCUUGGUGGAUUUUCCGGGUGCCAGAGCCUCGGGGCUGGCAGCUGCGUGGGCUGCCCCGUUGUCUUGUGCGUCGUCGUUGCAGACAAGGGCGCAUGAGCUUCUGUUGGCAUCCAGGAGGAGCUGGUGCAGCGCUUGGUCGACGUCGGCGACCGUCGGAGGUGGGGAUGCCGGCCUCAACAUCGCUCGCAGGGUGUCGAAGGCGCGCGGCACCGGCACUGGUUUGGACUAGGCUUGGUUUCCCCGUCGGCCCCAUCCACGCCCAGGAGGUCCGCAAGCCAGUUGGCCUUGUAGACGUAGUCAUAGGCGCCGACGAGGCUGCGGGUGCUCCUGGCAUCCAAAACUGCAGUGUUAGACGAAGACAUGUUGUAUACCUGGCUUUGCAUGUAAUAGGUCCUCAAGGCAUUAGCUUGUGCCACGAAGAGUGCUCGCAGCUGAUCAGGAGGCAUGCUGCUGAAGCCCUCUUCAUUUCCGUCGUGCUGUCUCCCGUGGUGUGGCGCAUAGCUCCUUUGUGGGGGGACCUGGUACGGUCCCGACGAAUCAGUUCCGUGCCGCCCCAGUACGCGUCUCCGUAUUUACGCCCGUGCCCCGGAUGCUCGUAGUCGUGGUCGCCGCCGUCGUCGUCGUCUCCCCGGCGUGGUGGCCAGAGGAAGCCCUUGUCCUUGCAGGUGGUCCUGUUGGGGGCAUUGGUUGCGGUCGUCCUUUGGGUCGCGACGCGUGUGUGGACCACGGCCACGCUCCCCGUCCCCCGCGUGAUCAGGGACGCGGGUAUAUCGCCGUGGGUGUCGCCAUUGCGCCGUUCGCGGCCCUGACCACCGUGCGCUCGGCGUCCUUCCCCGUCAUCCCGACCCUCUGGCUCCCGCGGCGGCCAAGGUAGGCAGGUUGGGAAGCGGGAGCGAGCGUCCGGCAGCGCGCCAUUGACGAGGCCAUAGCGCCACUCGUAUCUCCGGCGUACCGGGGUGAUACUCGCCGGGUUGUCGACCGCCUCGUGGAGGUUGCGCGCGGCCGCCGUGUAGUCCUCGAGCUGGGGCACGUGGAUGAAGACCUCAUAACGCGCGCCCUGUUGCCAAGACUCUGGCGGUGGCUCGGCCGACACGGAGAAGGCCGACGAUCUGUCUGUCAGCUUGUGCGUGAAGGCGAGCCACACCUUCUUGGGUAUCUCACUCGGGUCCGCCGUCCACGCCCACAGCUCAAUGUGCCUCGAGUCCGCCGGUUGGAUGAGGUUGGUGACUAUGCACUGAAGCGCGCAUUUGUGACUGACGACCCGCUCGACGAUCUCCAACGUCCAGGCGUGAGCCGGGAUCCCGUCGAGGCAGAGGCGCACCCUGUAGAAGAUGGGGAAGCUGAGGGCGUGCGUUAGGCUGCGCCAGGUAUGGAGACAAAUGUCGAUGCCGCCUCCGAAUGAAGCGUCCGUGGCGGCGUGCCUUUGCCGCGUCUGUGGCGUGCUCGAAGCGAAUAAGGUACGGCUCCGGCUAGUGGACUGUGACGGUGACCUUCCCAGGUUGCCAGCGGAGCUCUCGGGUGAUGAGGUCGGCGAUGUCCCGUACUCCGGCAUGUGGCGGCAGGUGGAGCGCCCACGGGAUGGGCGCAUGACUCCCAAUCUCUCGCAUCGUGGUCGAGAUGGAAGGAGUUGGAGACAAAGACUGUCUCUACCUCCGGCCUUGUGUGGGGGUCACCAAUUGCCAUGGCUGGUGCGCCGUUCUGGGGGGCUGCUGUCUGCUUGGCAGUGGUGGUGGCGGUGGCGGAGGAGGACGCUGGUGGUUGAGCUGCUGAGGCCGUGGACGCUGACGUGUUGGCGGGUAGGGGUGGCCGGCAGCAGGAGGUCGCAGUGAGGUGGAGAGGCGUGUGGCCCUGCAGUGACGCUGCCUAUGCCCCGAGCGGUGGCACCUGAAGCAGCGGACUGGGUCGCGGCACGCCGCGGCGUGGUGGUCCGAGGCGAGGCACUUGAAGCAGCGCCCGAUGGUCGCUUGGAUGAAGGCGCGUAGAGCCCCGGUUGUUGGCUGCGUUGAAGGCGCCCUGUAGCGCCGGUCGUUUUCGCGUCUGCGGCCGCCGUCUUGUCGAGGUUGCUCGGGCGGCGCACGGCGUGAAUGUUGUCUGCGACGCGUCACUGGUACCCAUGCUUGAGCGACGCCGCUUGGAGGUUCCUGGCGCCGGGUCCCGGCACGGUCCGUUGCCACAGGCACCCAUGCUUGAGCGGCGCUGCUUGCUGGUUCCCGACGUCGGGCCCCGUCACGGUCCGUUGCAGCUGCAGCAGGGGAGUGAAGGCACCACGGCCUUGUCUCGUCGCCGUAAAUGCAGCGCUCAAGGUAGGAGGCGUUAUGGCGCUGCGCGGUUGAGCCGUUGACUUUGCCCCGCCUGACUGCUUCCGCGUAGGAGAUCCGCAAGAUCGGCGUGGCAGGGGGAAGGUCCUUCAGCGCAGGUUGUAGAUCCGGUGUGGAAGCUCUCGCAUCUGGCGUUUCCGGUACAGCUUCUUCGUCCGAGAGCGUCGGACGGCCGCGCCGGGGCGGCGGUGGCGGGGAGUCGGAGAAGAAGCGCUCCGAUGAGGGGAGGGCAUGCGGCGUUUCAGGCUGGGGGUGCGGUGGCUGGGGCUGUUGCUGUCGGCGUUGGGUGCGCGGCGAGGGGUGCUAGGGGCCUGGCGGCGGCGGGAAGGAUGGUGGCGGGCGGGCGGCAUGGACUAGGAAGGACAAGCCGGACGAAAUGGUUUGGAUGAACCAGCCUUCAAGAAAACACUUGUUAUUGGAUCCGAAUAAUCCAAAGUUCAUUGGGCGGAAGUCGGAACCCGCUUUAGACUAGAUGUCCAUCAAUAAUAAUAUCCGAAAACACGUUGGAUCAUGUGGGGAUUAGCGUGGAGUCUGUCGAAGUGGAUUGAUGAAUGGGUUAAUUGGAUAUAUAUAUGUACCAUUGCAAAUAUUCAAGUUUGGAGACCUGCUAUUAUAAUUCGUCUAUCUAGAAAUAUGCCAUUACAAUUUGUGCUUUGAUUGAGAUGUGCUAUUUUUUACGUAUUUAAUGCUCUUGGACCCAGAUCCACAUGCAGGCUCUGGUAUUUUUGUAUGGACAAAAAUUGAACCCGCCCAAUCUCUACCCUCCUCGCAUUCGUUCUUCCUCAUCUUCCAUUCCUCCUCGCUCCUCCAAUGGAGGCUGCAGCUCCACCCAGCCUUGUGCGAGUUUGUCAUUGCCGAGCUCCGGACCAUCCUCGCGCGUCAGCCACUACCCCAUCCCCGUCCCCACGUCAACACCGCUGCGCGUGCUCCUAAACAGUCCCGCACACCGCGCUCCAUCCCGGCCCCAUCUGUGCGCCGCCGCAGGUGUGCUCCCACCCUGGCCCCGCUUGCACCGCCGCAGUCGCGCUCCCGCCCCGGCACUACUCGUGCGCCGCCGCAGCUGUGCUCCUGCCCUGGCCCCACUCGUGCGCCGCCAUGGCAACGCUCCCACCUAGCCCUGCCCGUGCGCCACCGCGGCCGUGCUCCCACGCCGACCUCACUCCCCCUGGCCUGGCUCGACCGCCACCGAGACUGCGCUCCACUUCGGCCUCGUUCAUCCGCUGCCGGUCAUGCUCUAGCUGUGCUUGCGCGCCCGCCAACACUGUGCUGCGCAGAAGGCUCAAGCCUAUCCCGACAGGUCGACAGCGUUGGCAGAGGAGCAUGAAGGAGAGAGGAAGGAUCUUGGACGACGGGAGGCGUCGGUGAUUGCUGGAAAGAAGCUAUAUGUGUAUAGAUGGCCAAAUGGGCGGCCCGACCCGGCCUGGCACGAGCACAGUUCGGCCCGGCACAUUUAGUCAUGCACAGUAGUUGUGCUAGGCAGUGCAAGCCCACAUAGGCCCACAUACCGAGGGAGCAGCUCAGGCACGGCCCGCUGCCUUUUCAGGCGGGUUGUACCGGCACGCUAGCCCGGUAGGCCUUAACGGGCUCGCCGUGCUCGUGCCAGCCCACGACCGACGGGGGGAGGCGGCGGAGCGCCGGAGCCGCGGAGGGUGCAAGGGUUCGGGGGCAGGGGAGGCGCGGAGGACGCCGACCACCACCUUCUCAACCGCGGUGACGACAAGGCGAUGAUGCCGGCACCCCAGGUUGCCUCGCCUGGCGCCAGACACCUACUGUGCGUGGGCGCCGCGGUCCGCACCGGGGUCCCCCGCGAGCGGGACUUCCCCAAGUCCACCUCCACGGGGGAGGCACGCCGCUCCUGGCGCCUCCGCGACCUCGCCUCCGGCGCUGACGGAUCUGCGAGGAGGAGGAGGCGAGGAGAUAGAGGCCAAAGGGAGGCGGUGGAGGGCCACGGGAGAAGUGGUGGGGGAGGCGGCGGAGGGUGCGGCGGUGGAGGGAAGUGGCGGGGGAGGCGGCGAAGGGCGCGAGGGAGGGCCGGGAGGCAGCGGAGGGUGGGAGGCGGUGGAGGGUGUGAGGGGCUGGCGCCCAGCGGUCGCGGGAAGCGGCGGGGGAGGCGGCGGCAGAAUGGAGGAGAACUGGAGAAGGUAGGGUUGAGGGUGGCCGGGUGGGGGGGUUUAUAUGCGGGUCGAGCGGACCUAAACAGGUCGGGGCGCCCGUUGAAAGUCCACGGGCCAAAUGGGCUAGACCGUGCCGGGCAGCACACGGGCUGAGGCAGCAGCUCAAGCCCAGCCCGUGGUGGGCCGGGCUGGCACGGGCAUGACGGCCGCCGUGCCGAGCCAUGCUUGGACCGGGCCAAAAAAUCGUGCCGUGGGCCAGCCCACGGGCCAUAUGGCUAACUAUAGCUAUGUGUUAUGGGGGCAUCUUUGUCCAUACGAAAAAUACCAUAGUCUGCAUGCGGGUCCAAGAGCAAAUACGUACAAUAUAGCACAUCUCAAACAAAUCACGAAUUGUAAUAGCAGUUCUCUAUAAACUUGGAUAUUUACAAUACGCUGUCUUAUAAGUUGUCUGGUAGAGCUAUAUAAUUUCUUAAUUUAUGCAUAUGAAAAAAGAAAUAUUAUGAAUUGCAUAGCAACAACAACUCGUACAAUAAUUGUUGAGUUGUCUCGUAAUCCUAAAAUUUAUCUCAUGAGGUGGUUGUUUCACGAAACAACGACCUCUUUCUCUCUCCUCGCUCUCUUUCCUCCACGUCAUCAAAAAUCCUACGUGGCACUACAUGAGAUGAUAUAUGAGACCGCUGACGUGUAGCAAUGUAUUUACCCUUAGAGCCCACAAAAUAGGCAGAGGACAAGGCAGAUAUAUGAGACCGCUGAUGUGUAGCAAUGUAUUUACCCUUAGAGUCCACAAAAUAGGCAGAGGACAAGGCAACUAUAUGCACGAGGCAAUAAUAAUGUACCAACAAAAAGGCCGCUUUGCUCGAGCUGCCCACCCUACGAGAUCGAUGUGACCUUUUUGUUUAUACUCCGUCUGUUGUCAAAGAUACAAAUAUCGAACUAAUAAUAAUGUAUCGUCAGAUUUAUGGAUUUACGUGCAUACCAUAUAUGCUGGGCCAAUGAUACUAUGGCCAAAUUUUUUGUUUUAUGCUUCUAUCAUUGGCUGCAACUCCAGCAGUAUUUCUUUGUGGGGUUGUGCAUUGCCCACACCUUUCCCUCUAGUCGCCGCCAUCGAGGCUCCCGCUCCCACUUUUGAUUUCAUCUUCGGCUACGAGAGGUAGUGACAGUGUGAGAGGAUGGCGGACCCAGCAUACAGUGAGUGAGGGCACAGGCCGACGCCUCAAAUUCAAGAACCGAGUAGUAUAUUUAAGCACUAUUUUACUGUACCCAGCACUCUAGGCCGCCGCUCAAUUUUGUGCUAGGUCCGUCAGAGAUGAGCACCAUCCAUUAGGUGUUGCACGAAUAAAAUUUUACCAAAUUUUCUGCUGUAACAUUUUUCCAAAUACGGUAGUACAUUUACAUUUUCUAAAAGCAGGCUAAUAGAUACACAAUUUACUAUGUCACGAGGACACAACAAUCUAUGAAGAUGCGUGCUAGGAUUGCGCUAACGCAAUCUGUUUAUGUUAAUUGGUAGAGAAGUUCUACAAUAUAAGUGCAAUUUAAUCAUCAUCCUAGCUAUACAGGUAGCUUAUAUGAACAGGUAGCUUAUAUGAAUGACGGGGCGUCCUGGAUGAUGCUCGUCGAAGAAGGCCCUUAUUGCAGCCUCUAUCAUUGGUACAUCUGACUUUUCACUUGUAUUCCAAGAGUAGCUCAAACCGAUGCCUACUCUUUUCAGAUUCGUCAGAUGCUCGACGCCGGCAAGCCUGAUGCCACACGUCUUCACUUCACACACACCCAAAUGAAACCUGAGGGUCUCAAGCUUGGGUACUGCUCCAGCUUGGAAGUGGAAGGAGUGGCACCGCUGAAUAAGUGGUUGACGAGUUUCGAAGUAAUCAAGAGAUCUGAACGCCGCACUGCUGCUGAAGACAAUCCCUUCAUCAGGGACAUCACGCACAAAUAGCUCAAGAUGGGCAAGGGCAGGUAACCCUGCAAGAACAGAAAUAUCAUCCUUGCACAGCUUGUCAACAUGGAUUUCCAGGCUGCUGAGCGUGCUAAGCUGACCAACCCACAUAGGUAACCUUGGAAUCUGGAAUAGCAGGUGGAGUUGCUCGAGACGACAGUCAGACAAGCACAAUGAGUUCCACCCAUCAUAGUAGCCUGUAAGGGUUUCUUCUAAUGCGAAAACAGUGAAAUGCCUCAGAUUGCCAUUGAGUAACUUCUGGAUGGAAUAAAACAGAGCAUCCUUAUGUGUUUCCAUAGUGGGGAACCUACGAUCAGUGAUAAACAUGUACAGCUCCCUUAGAUUCAGCAAUUCCCCGAUAGCCCUUAAAUUAUCGACCGACUGCUUGCUUGGAUUGAUCCAGUUCAGAGUACGAAGAGAUUUCAUCUUGCUAAUCCCAUCAGGAUAAGAUAUGCACUUAAAAACCUCCAAAUAUGACAAAGCAGGCAAAUGGACAAUAUCAUGAGGAAGUUGGGACACCCGCCCAUGUAUAACCAAUGUCUCCAAAUGAUGUAGCCCACAAAUUUGUUUAGGCAGUUCAAUGCUCGAUCCACUAACAUUUAAGUACCUCAGUUGAAACAGUUUCCCAAUUGGAGUGAGGUCCAAACCAUCAACCUUACAAACAAACAGAACUCGGAUAAACUUCAGCUCCAACAGUUCAAUGCUAUGAUCAUGCCACCCAAAACUACACAGUGAUCGAACAUGUGUCAGACUCAUGCGAGGUGCGAUUUUAUCAAGUUCUGCCUCACCAAGCUGCAGAGAGAGCCGGCGAAUCUGGCAAUGCUGUCUUCUGGUGAUUGUCU